rnacentral:lncRNA from 1 species
GACAUUUAUAAGUGGCCCUUCAGUCGUUGAAAUUUUUAAAUCUUUUUUAAGGUCGAUAGAAUUAUUUAUAAGCUUCAUAGAACUUUUUUUGAAAUCUUUUUUUUAUACAAAUACCUUUAAAAAUAUUAAAUAUUAAAAUUGAACAUUAUUAAUAUAAAAAAAUAGUAAUUUGAAUAUAAUAAUAUCAAAAAAGAAUCGUAGUUUAAUUUUUACAAGUAAAUUGGAAAUAAAUUAAGGUUAUAUAAAUAUUCAAUAGUAAAUGAGCUCGAUAGAACUUUUUGCAAGUCUUUUUGAAUUUUUUUAAGAUUCAUCAUACGUGGCGUUGUUACACCUAGGGAGGAUCCAUUAUAUCUUACAGCUCGAUCUAAGGCAACCCGUCAGGUUUCCAUCCUAUAUACAUUGAAUCUUUAAAAUAUUUAAAAUAAGGUUGGAGAGAAGGUCAGCUAUUGUUGUAAUUUUAAUGGACAAGCAAGCUACAUGGUAAUAAAUAUUCAAUAGUAAAUAAGCUCGAUAGAACUUUUUUCAAGUCUUUUUGAAUUUUUUAAGAUUCAUCAUACGUGGCGUUGUUACACCUAGGGAGGAUCCAUUAUAUCUUACAGCUCGAUAUAAGGCAACCCGUCAGGUUUCCAGCCUAUAUACUUUGAAUCUUUAAAAUAUUUAAAAUAAGGUUGGAAAGAAGGCCAGCUAUUGUUGUAAUUUUAAUGGACAAGCAAGCUACAUGGUAAUAAAAUUAAUUCAUACUUAUUCAUACUUUAUUUGAAUCAAAUAAUAAUUAAGUUGAACCAAAUAUAAAAACUUAUUCAUACUUAUUGAUACUUCAAAUAAUAAUUAAGCUACAAGAAUCAGGUCUAGUUCAAGUUUAUUUAAAGGGUUGCAAUUCAUACAUUUGAUUAAUGUUAUGAAAUAAAGGGUGUGCUUGUUUUUCUAUCCCAUAAAGGAUAUCCCACAUGCGCAUAUUACUGUAAGUUGAACUAUACCUCAUGGUUAAGUAAGCAAAAUUUUACAAACACAUACAAGCAUAUCUAAAUAACCAAAUUUCGCUUGCAACAUAACCAAUUCAUACAUUACUCACUUGACUAACAUUAAUCAUUUUUCAUGUCAUUUAGACAAAUCAAAACAUGUCAAUUUCAUAUGCUAUAAAUCAUGCUGAAAUUUCAUAUACACAAGUAAAUCAAUUUACAUAUAUUCGGUCAUUUAAUAUGACUUCAAUAUAACAGUUAAAACAUAUUCAUUCUUGCCAUCAUAAACCAAACAUAAAUAGUCAAAUAUCAUAGCCGAACAUACAAUAACAUAUAUAUAUAAUAAUUCAUGACAUAAAUACAUAUGUAUUCAUUUAUCUAUCAUCAACCAAAUAUAACGGCUCAUUACUGCCAUUUCCCAAACUAAUAAAUAGACAAAUUACAGUCAAAAUGUAAUUCAAUAAUAAACCAUACCCAAAACACAUCCAACAACCAUACUUAAUUCACUUUAGCCGAAUUAUAGCGACCACAAAUGCAUAACAAUCUUACCAAGAUGAGCUAAUUAUAAACCAUACUUAUCAUUACUUCAUACCAAAUCAUAUAUCUAAGUAAAAUGAUUUUUUUCAAAAUCAUCAUGAUGAAACUAUUAUUUAUGCGAAUUUUGAACUAAAACAUACCUUAAUAAUUUCAACAAGCUGGUCUACUCCACUCUCACCAGGAAAUAGAGGCUGGAGUCAGAAAAAUAGUAUUUGUUAAGUAAUUGAAAGUGAAAAUGCAUAUAAAUAAGCAAAAAAAGUAUGCAAUGAAACACGUGCUCGAUAGUACUUAGAACUAAUGUAAGAUAUGUUUGGUUCCCCUUUCACCUGACAAAGUAGUUUUUCAACAACCUGGUCUACUCCACUUUCACUAGCAAAUAGAGGCUGGAGUAAAAAAAGUUGUAUUUCUUAAGUAAGUUAAAGCAAAAAUGCAUAGAAAUAAGUUAAGUAAUUUAGCAACAAAACAUGUACCUAGAACAGAUGUUAAUGGCUGUGGUGUAUUUAGUUGCACCAAAUAUUAAUUUAGGUGCUCGAUAGUACCUACAAAAGAUGUAAGACAAUAAGAGUAGCACCAAAUAUAUUUCAGUUCAAGCAAAUAUAAAAACUUGAUCAAUAUCAAAACUUGAUCAAAUAUAAAAUUUUAAUAAAAAUCUAAAAUAUUAAAUAUUAAACUAAAAAUAUAUUUCUUUAUAAAUCUGAGUAAGUCUAAAACGAGAUUAAGUUAAUCAUUUAAAAAUAUGAAAUAGAAUUGAAUAAAAUUUUAAACCUAUAAUUUGGAUUGAGUCAAAUUCGGACAAACAUAAAAAAUGCUAAUAUCGUAUAUAAGCUCAACCUAAACCUGACUCAACCUAACCUCUAGUUUAAGUCAUUUACCAAUACACCAGUGACUGAUUGAGACAGCUGAUUAUCGAUUCAUUGGUAGAGAUAUUUUUUCAAUACUACCUAAAUGGGAAGUAGAAAGCUAUAGUCUUCAUCACCACAUGUUACCAAUUGAUGAUAUAAAAGACCAAUGAGAGUCUUCAUAUAAUGACGUGCACAUGCUAACAAUGCAAAGUUAUUUGUAGGCAACAUUAAAGAAAUAAGGCAGCCUUUUUCUUCUUGUUUCCAGAAGCAUGCAUAUUUUUCUAGUGGGGUAGAUCAACAUCCUCCUUGACUAGAGGAUCAAAUCAUAUAAUUGUCGGCUACCUUAGCCUUUUUUAUUUUUUUCUAGAUUGCUGAUAAAAUUCUUCAGUAUUUAAAGUCUAAGACUUCACAGGAACUAAGCUGAAGACUAAGCCUUUUAAUGUAAAGGGAUAAUCUCAUGAAUUAAAAAUAUUCCAUACGAAGAAAAUGCAUGUAGUAAGGGAAAUAAGAUUUGUAUGAUCAUUCCAAGAAUCUCAUCAAUUUCAGUUCAGUUGAUUAUAUCAGCAAACACUCGUGAAACCAAAGAAAAAUAUCAGAACAAAAAACUAUGCCACUUGGCUCCAGCUUAAGUGUUCUAUGCAGAUAUGUUCAAUUUUUUUUGGAAGAUCUUAGAGGGGUUAUAUCCUUAUAGUCAAUGUCUAUAUAUGCAUCAAACAUGGAUAAACACUUCGAGAAAAAUGAAUAGUCAAAAAACAUAAAAUCUGAACGCUAUUGAUAUAGAAAGCUGGGUUCACGAACUACCAACUAAAUAAUAGCUAUGAAUAGAGUCUAAGCUGAUUGAAUAUUAACUUAGUUGGCAUUGACAUUGUUGCCGGUGCAAGAGGAUGUGGAUUCAAACACACUCAAGUGCAUUUUAUCCCCCAUUUAAUCUAAGGUAGCUCUACAAAAGUAAAAAAAGACACUAUCAGUCAGCGUAAGUGCAUUAAAUUCUAUACCACUUCACAUGCAGACAACCCAACAUUAAACUCCAUCUAGUUACUCUUAAACCCUAUUCUCGUGUUUUCUUUACCGCCUAUGAAGCCUCUGUAGCUGAAACUUUAAAACACCAACAUUCACAGUGGAAGAACUUCAGUAGAUAUAAUACCUGAAUACAGUCAACAUCAAUGCAUCAUCACCUUUACAAGCAACCUAAGUCAUGUAUGCCACCAAGACCAUCAACAUGUUAGGGACAGGGGAAUAGAUUUAGGGAAAAAGUAUGGGGAAAGGGGGGAUUUGGGGAAAAUGUUAGGGAAAUGAAUAUGGGGAAAAGAGGGGAUUUGGGGAAAAUGUUAGGGAUUUCGAGUUUGGGGAAUUAGGGGAGGAAAGGGAAAAGAGUUAGGGAUUUGCGAUUUAGGAAAGGAAGAACCGAAAUAGGGAAAUGACUUAGCAAAAAACUGAACUGAUUUCGAGUAAAGGAGAUAAACUUCAGGGGAGAAAAAACGACGGCGUUUCAAAUAAGGAGAAUUUGUGGUGUUUUCAACAAAGCACCGCUAAUUAGACCUUUUGCGGCGUUUUAUGCGAAGCGUCGCUAAUGCCACUUCUAUCUACACUACAAAAUGACACCGUUCUAAAUUAAAGUCAAUUACAAUUUGUGGCGUUUUCUAUAAAAAUGCCACUAAUAUUCAUAUGAAACGACGCCGUUUUACUUUAAUGUACAAUUAAAUUUUGUGGCGUUUUGUUAAAAACGCCGCCAUUUCCUAUCAUUUGCGGCAUUUUAUAUAUAAACGCCACUAAAACCUUUGAUAAUAAAAAAUAUUUUUUAAAAAUUGAUCAAAAUUUAAAACUAUAUAUUUAGAAUUUCUUCUAAAUUAUAUCCAAAUAAUGUUACUGUAGUACAAAAUAUAUAUUUCAUAUAUUUAUAUUAGGUGUAUGCAAUAUAUAAAUUAAUACACAUUUUAAAAUACAUCAAUAUAUUUUUAUAUUGAAUAAAUAUAAAUAUUAUGUAUGCAAUAUAUAAAUUAAUGAAAUAAAAACAUGAUGCUAUUUAUAUCAAUAAUUGUGUUAAUAUUUUACAGUAUCUAGAUCGAAUUAUAGUUCGUGUACACAAUUGCACACUAACCCAUUUUUCAUCCGUUAGUUGUUCAUGUAUGCUUUUGGGAUUUAACCUAUCUUGAUAUAUUUUUUUAAAAAAAUAAUAAUUUAUAUUUAUCUUAUUUAGAUUUAUAUUAUAAAAAAAUCCAAUAUACACAAGUUAUGUAGUUCACCAUAUUUAUCCCCAAACCCUAAAAAUUAAAUCAUAAACCCCACACCCUAAACCCCAAAUCAUAAACCCUAGAUCUUAGACCAACAUCACCUUAAACCCUAUAUAUAUAUAUUACAAGGGACAAAGAUAAUUAAAAAGGAAUUUUAUUGCUUAUCUAAACUCUAAACCUCUUAACCCCUAUCCCAUAAACACUAAACCCUUAACCCCAAACCCUUACACCUUAAACCCCUAAACCUAACCCCUAAAUCUUAAAUCAUAAUCCCUAAACCCAUAAUUCAUCAUAAACCUUCAAAUACUAGGUAACUCUUAAACCUUAAACCCUAAAUCAUAAAUCUUAAACCAUAGUUAACUCAUAAACCUUAAACCCAUAUAUCUUAAACCAUAAACCUUAAACUAUAAUGAUAAUUAAUUUAAUAUUUUAAAUUCAAUACUAUCUCUUUUACGAUUAUAUAAAAAAAUAUUUAAUAUAUUGUAUAACCAUAAAUUUUAAUAAUUAUUGUUUUAGGGGUUAUAGAUUAGUGUUUAUGAUUUUUUUUGGGUGGGGUUAUAUGACUUUUAGCGGCGUUUUACCAAAAGCGCCACCAAUGCUCUGGUCUUUAGUGGCAUUUUUUACUAAAACGAUGUUAUUGCUUUGUUUUUAGCGGCGUUUUACCAAAAACGCCGCUAUUGCUCUGUGUUUUACAAUUUUUGCGGCGUUUUUUUAUAAAAUGCCGCUAAAAAUGCCGCUAAAGCCCAUUUUCAUGUAGUGGUUGUAUCAAAUUUUUAUGUUAUAAUUAUAUUAUACUUUAUUAGUUGAAAAAUUAUAUACAAUUUUUUAUAAUUAUUUAUAUAACUCUUAAUAAAUGUUCAUCUUAGUUUAUAAAUUUUCAAGUUUAUUACUGUACAUUUCGAACUUGUGCACUUUUUAUUUUUUAUUUUGCAAUAAAUUAGUUGCACAAUUUCAAUGUAAUUUUUCUAUUUAAAUAUUAACAUGAUUUUUCAAUAGAUUGACUAAAAAAUAUUAAUUUAUUAUAUGAUUAAAUACUGUCUUCUUGACUAAAAGUAUAUAUUUAAUACUAAUUAAUUUUUGGUAUUAAUAAUGUUUGAUUUUAGUAUUUAAUAUUUUUAAAACGUAUAAAUAUAUUUUUAUCAAUAUAAUAAUAUUGACCAUUAUUUAAAUUUAUUUUAAUAUAAAAAUCAAAUUACUAUUCUUUUUUCCCAAAAAUAAAAAACUUGUAAUAAGGUUGGGUUUCAUCCAUUUCCUCAUUUGCAAGUUCAAUGUAAUUAGUUAAACAAAGUUUCAAUUUAGGUUCGUCAUUACUGAUUGAAUAGUUUAUUCUUUAGUUGCAAUAUUAUCCAAAUCCUAUCUCAAGUUAAGUUUUUAAAUAUUAUUUAAUACAUAACUUACAUAACUUAUAUAAUACAUAACUUACAUCAUUUACAUAACUGACAUAAUACAUAACUUACAUAAUUUAAAGAUCAAAUUUUAUAACUUACAUAAUUUACAUAACUUACAUAAUACAUGAGUUACAUAAUUUAAAGAUCAAAAUUUCAAAACUUACAUAAUACAUAACUUACAUAAUUUAAAGAUCAAAUUUCAUAACUUACAUAAUACAUAACUUACAUAAUUUAAAGAUCAAAUUUCAUAGCUUACAUAAUUUAAAUAACUUACAUAAUAAAUAACUUACAUAAUACAUGACUUACAUAACUUAAAUAUACUUAUAAAUAAACAACUUACCCGUGUAAUUUAUUGUAAACUUUAGAUUUCAAGAACUACGAAAUGGAUAGGAGUUGGAUAAAUUUGUCAAGGGUAAGCAACGCCUAUCGAAAUGGAGUACAAACUUUUCUAAAUUUUGCAUUUCAAAAUGCAAGCCAAGAGAAUAUGAUUUUUUGCCCGUGUAAGAAGUGUGGCAACAUGAAUUGGCAUUUUCGUGAAGUUGUCUACGAACAUCUAAUUGUUGAUGGCUUUAUUCGGGGGUAUAAAAAUGGAUUUUUCAUGGUGAGUGUACAUCUAGUGGAACUUCUUCAACGAUUAUGUUAGACAAGAUGACAUGAAAGGUAUGUUGCAGGAUGCAUUUAAUAUGCACAGUCAUGGUGAGCAAUCGUUUCCACCUGACUUUAUUGCAUCUGAUGAUUGUAAUAUUGGUGGAAAUGUUUUUUUGCGAAACGGGAACAAGUGCAACUAAUGAGGAGCCAAAUGAAGAGGCGGCGAAGUUCUACAAUUUACUUAGUGAAAUGAACGAAGAACUUUACGAGGGAUCAAAAUAUUCAAAAUUGUCCUUCUGUAUUCAUCUAUUUCACUUAAAAUGUUUGGGAGGGUGGACCGGAAACUUUUUUACAAUGCUGCUAGAGUUUCUGAGAGAGAUGUUUCCAUUUGCAAAAAUACCCCAAUCUUGUCAAGAUAUGAAGAGACUCAUAAAAGAUUUGGGCCUUGGGUACGAUAAAAUUCAUAGUUGCUUAAAUGACUGCAUGUUGUACUGGGGUGAUCAGAAAAACCAAUAGUCUUGUCAUGUUUGCGGUAAUUCUCAUUAGAUGGAUAGGAAUGAAGAAGAUGUGAAUGUGGAUGAAGGUGAGGCAUAGUUAAGAAAGAAGCCAGUCAAGGUUUUGCGAUAUUUUCCCCUAAUACCAAGACUUCAAAGGCUUUUCAUGUCGUUAAAGACGACCGAAUCUAUGAGGUGGCAUAAUGAUCAACGGACCGAUGAUGGAUUAUGAAGACAUCUUGCGGAUUCUUUAGCUUCGAAAUCAUUUGACAGUAAAUUUCCAAGCUUUACAAGCGAUCCUCGGAAUGUGAGGCUUGGGCUAGCAGCUGACGGCUUUAAUCCAUUUAAAAUCAUGAGUACUUCGUACAGUACUUGGCCUGUAGUGCUUGUUCCUUACAAUUUGCCUCCAUGGAUUUACAUGAAGCAAUCUUCAUUUCUUUUAUCAAUGAUUAUCCCUGGAGAGAAAGGUCCCGGAAAUGAUAUUAACAUCUAUUUGCAGCCACUUAUUGAAAAGUUAAAACAGUUAUGGUCGGGUGUUAAGACAUAUGAUGUACUGAGAAAGGAGAACUUUAAUUUACGUGCAGCAUUGUUGUGGACAAUUAAUGAUUUCCCGGCUUAUGCUAAUUUAUCGGGUUGGAGUACUAAAGGACGUUAUGCUUGUCCUUGUUGUGCUGCACAAACUUGUUUGAAGUGGUUGUACAAUGGGAAGAAGUUCUCUUACGUGGGCCAUCGUCGGUGGUUAGAUGGAAAUCAUAAAUUUAGAUUUCAGAAGACUCUAUUUGACGGUACUGAAGAGUACAGAAGAGCUCCUGAGCAGACCGUUGGAUCUGAAAUCUUGUUUAUGUUAAAUCUUGUUUAGUUAUGGGAAGAUGAAUCAACCACCUAACACACAAACAAAGAGAAGAUCGAGGUAUGAAUCUGAUGAUGAAUCUGACGAAAAGGAUGAUCCUAAUGAGGCGGACUUAUGGAAAAAAAGGAGUUUUUUUUUUAGUUGCCUUAUUGGGAGCACAACAUUUUACGCCAUAAUCUUGAUGUCAUGCAUAUUGAGAAGAAUGUCUGCGAGAACAUAAUUAGGACAAUUUUGAAUGUCGAUGAAAAAUCAAAAGACAAUCUUCAGAGUCGACUUGAUUUAGUUGACAUAAGAAUUCGGCAUGAUCUUCAUCCUCAAGUACUUCUGAAUGGGAAAUAUCGGUCGUCGCCUUCUAUUUUUUCAAUGUCAAAGGAAGAAAAAGAAGUGUUCUGCAUGGUGUUGAAGGAUAUAAAGGUCCCAGAUGCAUAUGCGUCAAAUAUAUCUCGAUGUGUGAAUCUUAAAGAUCGAAAAUUAUAUUCAUUAAAAUCACAUGAUUAUCACUUCUUGAUGCAAGAUUUACUCUCAGUUGCUUUACGUUGCUUUAUGUCAAAAACCGUAACGUCCUGUAUAAUUGAACUAUCCACUAUAUUGAAAGCUAUUUGUGGCAAAGUUUUGGAUGUUGAAGAACUUGAGAAAGUACAGGAUCGAGCGGCUUUGACUUUAUGCAAUUUGGAGAAGAUCAUUCCACCUUCCUUCUUCACUAUUACGGUGCGCUUGGUAAUCCAUCUCCCUCACGAAGCAAUACUUGGUGAACCAAUUUUUUAUCGAUGGAUGUAUCCUAUAGAAAGGUGCUAAUUUAUUUCUCUAGUAUUCAUUCGUUCACCUCUAUACAUUUAGUUACAGCUUUUGAAAAAUAUUGUAUAUCGUGUUUAGGUUCCUAAGAAAAUUGAAGUCGUAUUGUCGCAAUAAGCGUUAUCCAGAAGGAUCAAUUGCUGAAGGCUACUUGGCAAAGGAGUGUAUGACUUUCUGUUCUAGAUAUUUAGAAGAUGUUGAAACACGAUUGAAUAGACCAAGAAGAAAUGCUGGGCUCAAUGAUCAUCACUUGGCCGAAACUUAUUUAUUCCAAAGUUAUGGAGAAGCAAUCGGCAAAGUUGAAAUUGCAUAAUUAGAUGAUAUAUUGUCGAUACAAGCACAUCGAUAUGUACUUUUUCACCACGAUUCAAUUGAACCAUUACGCAAGUAAGUUCUAACAUUUCCUCAGAUAUUCGUCAUUUUGGUUUGUUUAUCUUCUAACCAAUUAAACUUUUUUUUAACGUAGUGAGUACAAACAAAUUUUGAGAUCUCGUGCACGCUCUCGAAGAUUACAACAUCGAGAGAUUAAUAAGUUAUUCACAGAAUCUUUUCAUGAAUGGUUAAGCCAAAUGGUAUGUAACUGAAGUUAAUAAGUUACAUAUAAUUGUGAAAUUUAGUGUAGCACCCCAAACCCGGCCCAGACGUUAUGGCCGGAUCCGACAUGCCACAUCGAAGAAUUCAAAACAUUUUCGAUCCAGAAAGAAAACUUACUAAGUGUUUUAAAAGAUAAUUUCAUUAUAGGUUAAAGUGAAUGGAAGCUGUGCACCAGGUAGGAAACCGGAAAAGAGGAGGUGAGUCCAUCAGACUGCUUAAGUACCAAACUCCCUUCGGAUCCAAUCCUAGACAUGCAAACCGCCAUUGCCAUACCUUAACGUCAUGUAUAUUUCUAGGAAACCGAUUUGAUUAAGUCCAUUUUAGGAAAAGUGAUUAAUUUUAGAAAAUAUCUUCAUUGCGGAAGCUUUGCUUAUUUUCGUGUUAUUUUGAAAUCAAUUACUGUUUUUGAAAACGCGCCCUAAAGCUAUCUAAUUUCAACAUUUAAAAUAUAAAUAUUACCUAUCUUAAUAAAACAUAUAAAAACCAUCAAAAAUAAAUAAGUGGCCUUAUUACAUUUAAAAGCCCAAAACCUCAAACGUAAUUAAAAGGAUGUCCAGUUCACGAGAAGAAAAUCAAACUUUCAGAACGGGUGGCCACUCCGAAUUCCCUCACAGCUCCAAGCCCACUAUGGUUGGGGAUUUCGUGCGUGGAUGAAAAUAAAAGGGGUGAGUUUGGGGAAACUCAGUGUGUAAAGAAAACCCAUUCAAAGCCCAAGUCAGCUCAAGCCUAUUGGGCCUAAGCCCAUUCAGGUAACAGUGGUACUGGACCAGAGCCCUUUUCAGAUUACAAUAAACUGGGCCUUAGCCCCUUAUUCAGAUAACAGUAUGGCCCAUAGGCCCAUUUCAAAAUACAUGCAACAUCAAUAACAUAUGCAAGCCCAUUUAGGGAGACUACUCAACCCACCAACCACUACACUCCACCCGUACCAGCCAUACACUCCAUGUGGGGAUAGCUCAACCCACCCAGCCCAACACUCCACAGUUGCAGCAUUUGUAACAACCCGGUUUGACCCUAAUCGGACAUAGUGGUUUCGGGACCACAAGUCCGAGACAAAAAAAUAUUUUAAUAUUAUUUUGUGUGUUUAUUUUGUGUGCAUUUGAUUGUGUGAAAUUUUCGUGUUUUAAUUUUGUUGUUUGAGUGUCCGAUUAAACAAAAGGAUUAAAUCGCGAAAAAUGAAAAUUUAGGGGUUAAUUAUAAAAGCACCUAAUUGUUGUUGUCUUUUUAAAUGGAAGGAUUUAUGAUGCAAUAAGACCAUAAAGUAGAUAGUGGGUGAUAUAUGACAUAAUUGACCUUAAUAUAUAUGUUAUAAAAAUUUAUUAUAAUAAGGUUAAUUUAGUCAAAUGUUAAAUUAAACAUUAAAAUUAAAAUAAUUGAUGAAAAGAUGAAUGUUUUCAUCUUAACUUAGCCGAAUUCAUGCAAAAGAAAAAAAGAAAGGAAGUCAAGUAUUAUUCGGCCAUUUUAAAGCUUGAUUAAGGUUAGUUCUUUGUUCGGUUUUUGAUAAUUUUUACGUUUUUGAGAUCGUUGCUUCGAAUACUAUCCAACCCAUGUCUUAAUUUUGUGAAUUGAUGAAUAUUUUGAAUUAUGCCAUUGAUGAAUAUUUGUGUUUUGGGAUGUUUGAUGAUGAAUAAUGAAAGAUAUGUCUUAGAUUAACAUGUUUUGUCUUGGGAUUUUUGAUGAAUUUGAGUAUUUAGGGCUAGAUUGUGAAAAUAAAUUUUUGAGGGACUAAAAUGUGAAAUAAAUGAAAUGUAUGGACUUGUAUGAAUACAAGGAAGAUUCGGCCUAACUAUAGUGUUGUGAGAUUUUGUGUAUUUUGUGUUUUAUGCAAUAGGGACUAAAUUGCAAAAAGUGUAAAAUGUCUGGGGCAAAAUGGUAAUUUGCCCAUUUAAGUGUUUUUGGAUAAAAUUGAAUGAUUUGAUGAAUAAAAGGGUUAAAUUUGACUAUGUUUAGAUCAAGGAACGAAGAAAACGAAUUUGGAUCGGGGGAAAUCGAAGGUAAUCGAAUAGUCGAUCGUGUUUGCUGAUAUCCGAGGUAAGUCUAUUAGCAACUAAAAGUUAUUAAGUUAAUAUUUAUACAUGCAUACUAAUUUUAUCUUAUGAUUGAGCUAUAAUUUAAAGUAUAAUAGUUGAAUAAACUUUGGACUAUAGAUAUUGUAUAUAACAUGUUCGAAUAUACAAGUAUGAUCUUGUAUAAAUUAUUGGAUUAAUCAAAGGUAUGUAUAAGAUAUAGGUAUAUAUAUAUAUAUAUGGUUUGAAUGAUUAUAUAUGUGUUGUGUAUUGAAUUUAGUUAUGUCAUUAUAUAAGUAUGCGAGGAUUUAUGUAUAUAUAUAUAUAAAGUCGAAUAAGCAUGCAAAUAUACAUGUAUGUGUUGUGUAUUGAAUUUAGUUAUGUCAUUAUAUAAGUAUGCGAGGAUUGAUUGUGCAUUUAUAUAUGUACAAGUUUUUGUUUUGAAAUUGAGUAUGAAAUUAUACAUUCAUAUGGUAGAUUCGAAUAUGUAUAAAUGCACAUGUAUAAAUUCUUGAAUCGAAAUUUGGUAUGGAAUUAUAUAUGUAUGUGAAAGUUUCGAUUUUGUAUGUAUAUUCACGUAAAAGUUUUUGAAUGGUAGUGAAGAUAUGAAAUUGUUAGUUUGAAUUAUUAUAAAGUGAUUUAAUGUAAUACGGACGUUACGUCUAGCAGGCUUAAUGCCGGUGAAGUAAUUCAGACUUUAAGUCUAGCAGGCUUAAUGCCGGUGAUACAUUUCAGACUUUAAGUCUAGCAGGCUUAAUGCCGGUGAUAUAUUUCAGACUUUAAGUCUAGCAGGCUUAAUGCCGGUGAUAUAUUUCAGACUUUAAGUCUAGCAGGCUUAAUGCCGGUGAUAUAUUUCAGACUUUAAGUCUAGCAGGCUUAAUGCCGGUGAUACAUUUCAGACUAUAUGUCUAGCAGGCUAAGUGCCGGUGUACUGAAUCAGGCUUUAAGCCUAGCAGGCAAAAUGCCGGUGAAUCUGUUUAAAUUGUGUUAGAAUAUGCAAUGGAUAUAUCUAUGAUUUGUGAUUAUAUGAAAUCGAUGAAUACAUAUGUACAUUAGAUAUAUGUGAUUGCUGAAUUUAUAAAUGCAUAUGGUAAUAUGUGGUAGUUAAACAUAUAUAUGUUGAGCCUAUGUGUUUGAUAAUUAAUCAUGUAUGCAUUUGAGAUAUAUAUAUAUGUGUGUAUUUCGAAUGUAUGUGUUACCUAGGUAUUCAGGUAUAAAUUCAUAAUGAGUAUAUUUAUAUACAAACAAAUAUAAGAUGUGAUUGAUGUACAUAUAUUUGUGUUAGAUUUGAAUUGAUUUAGAACUUACCAUGAGUGUAUAUAUACAAUCGGUUUGAUAUGUAUAUAAUAUGUAUAUAUAUAUGCUCGGUGGUAUACAUUCAAUUGUAAUGUUGUUUUGUAUAAUAUAUAUAUUAAACUGAAUUCAUCCGACAGGUAUACAUAUCUGACUAUAAAUGAAAUGGUCUGAGUAGAAUAAUGUAUGAAUGUUAGUUGGUUGUGUUAGUUGAAAUUUCAGUAGAAUAGAUUAAAAAGGUUAUAAUAAUUAUGUGUUUAUAAUUAUACAUUUAGUUAUGCUGGAGACUUACUAAGCUAUAAAAGCUUACUUCGUUUGCUUUCGUUCAUUCGUUUUUAUAGAUUUGGAGACGCGUUACGAGCUCAGGGAUCAUCAGCACAGUCCAUCACACUAUCGACUUCUUUUGGUAUUUUGUUAAAUAUUUGAACUCGAUCUUAUGGCAUGUAUAGGCUUGAUAAUGUUUUGGUUAGUUUUGAAUCCUAUUGUGUAAAUAGCAAUGUGAAAAGAGUUUAGUCUCCAUGCUUGAAUUUGAUUAUAUAUGUUCAUGAAUUGGACUUGCAUUUGGAAUUAGAUAUUAAAGUUAUGUUUAUGUGAGCUUGGUUUCGUAAUGCCUCGUAACCCUGAUUCGGCGACGGAGUCGGGUUAGGGGUGUUACAUUUUAUUGGUAUCAGAGCUAUGGUUUAGUCGAUUCUCGGAACUAGCGUAGCGUGUAUGAGUCUAGCUAUACAUGCCAUAUUUUUAUAUCGAGAUAGUGUGAUGACUGCUGACGUCUAAAAAUGUGUUUUCGUAUAGUAAUGGAUCCCGAACGAGCCGUAGCUGAUGAUGUUGAGAGUAUAGCGCCUGCUCCCGCGCAAGGGACAGAGCCAGUAGAUUCUCGACCAAUCUCGAGUAACCAGGAGGGAGAGGCUAAACAAGCCUUCUACCAAAUGAUGAAUGACUGGUUUACUCAUUAUGUCCGAACUAAUCCGGUUACACAACAACCUCCACCCCCGACUAAUCCAUCUUCGAUUCCUGUUAUACCCCAAGUAAGUGAUCCGAUGAGAUUACUUAAGCCUCCGGUUGACAAAAUUCGAAAACACGGGGCCGAAGAGUUCAGAGCUACUGAUGAUGAUGAUGCUGAGCGAGCUGAAUUCUGGCUUGAUAAUACUAUUCGAGUGUUUGAUGAGUUGUCUUGCACCCCUGAUGAGUGCUUGAAAUGUGCCAUAUCCUUGCUACGGGACACUGCAUAUCACUGGUGGAAUACACUAGUAUCGGUGGUUCCGAAAGAGCGAGUGACCUGGGAAUUCUUUCAGACUGAGUUUCGUAAGAAAUAUAUCAGCCAGAGAUUUAUUGAUCAGAAACGUAAGGAAUUUCUUGAACUGAAACAGGGUCGUAUGACAGUGACAGAAUAUGAACGGAAAUUUGUGAGACUUAGUAGAUAUGCUCGAGAGUGUGUUUCAACUGAAGCUAUCAUGUGUAGAAGAUUUGAAGAUGGGCUGAAUGAAGAUAUUAAACUGUUAGUUGGUAUACUUGAGAUAAAAGAGUUCGUAGUACUUGUUGAACGAGCUUGUAAAGCUGAGGAGCUCGGGAAAGAGAAGAGGAAAGCUGACUAUGAAGCUCGAGAUUCUCGUAAAAGAUCAUUCAGUAAAUCAUUUCAGACGACCUCAAGGAAAUUCAGAGCGGAUCAUAGCCAAUCUAAAGCUACUGCAGGGUUUCCUAAGUAUGAUCGAGAUCGACCCCCUGUGAGUUCACGAGCUACUUCAGUUGCUAGCGUUGGUAGUGUUCGACAAAAUAGAUCAGAGUGCAAGCAUUGUGGGAAAUGGCAUCCUGGGGAUUGCAGAUUCCAUGAUCGGUCUUGCUUCAAGUGUGGUUCAAAAGAUCAUUUCAUUCGAGAGUGUCCGAUGGUAGCUGAGCAAAACACUGUGCAGGAUACCAGACCGAGUAAUGUGCCAGUCCGAGGUAGACCGCCGAGACAAUUGAGUAAUGUAAGUGGUAGUCAGAGAGGAACCAGGGACACAGCAAUUCGAUCUGAGGCCCGUGCACCUGCCAGAGCUUAUGCCAUCCGUGCUCGAGAGGAGGCUUCUUCUCCAGAUGUUAUUACUGGUACUUUCACUCUUUAUGAUACUAAUGUUAUUGCAUUGAUUGAUCCUGGUUCGACUCAUUCUUAUGUGUGUGACUUUAGUAUUCAGUAAGACUUUGCCUGUUGAGUCUACUGAGUUUGUAAUUAAAGUAUCGAACCCCCUGGGCCGGUGUGUUUUGGUUGACAAAGUGUGCAAGAAUUGUCCGUUGAUGAUUCGAGAUUUAUGUUUUCCAGCUGAUUUGAUGUUGUUACCAUUCGACGAGUUCGAUAUAAUUCUGGGUAUGGAUUGGUUAACUCUGCAUGAUGCUAUUGUAAACUGCAAACGGAAAACUAUUGAUCUACGGUGUCAGAAUGAUGAGAUUAUUCGGAUCGAAUCUAAUGAUCUGAAUGGUUUAUCAGCAAUAAUAUCCUCGAUGUCGGCUCAGAAGUAUGUGAGAAGGGGUUGUGAAGCUUACCUUGCAUUUGUUCUUGAUAGUAAAGUGACCGAAAAGAAGAUUGAAUCUGUACCAGUAGUGUGUGAGUAUUCAGACGUGUUUCCCGAAGAAUUACCGGGUUUGCCACCUAUUCGAGAGGUAGAGUUUGGUAUUGAGUUAGUACCAGGGACGACUCCCAUAUCGAUAACUCCGUACCGUAUGGCACCGACCGAAUUAAAACUAUUGAAAGUACAGUUGCAAGAGCUGACUGAUAAAGGUUUUGCACGACCGAGUUUCUCUCCUUGGGGUGCAUCAGUUCUAUUUGUGAGAAAGAAAGACGGAACGAUGAGAAUGUGCAUUGAUUACCGGUAACUCAAUAAAGUGACUAUAAAGAAUAAGUAUCCGUUACCACGGAUUGAUGAUUUGUUCGAUCAGUUGAAAGGGGCUACUGUGUUUUCAAAGAUAGAUCUGAGAUCAGGCUACUAUCAGUUGCGAGUUAAAGACUCUGAUGUGCCAAAGACUGCUUUCCGAACGAGGUACGGACAUUAUGAGUUUCUUGUUAUGCCUUUCGGACUUACUAAUGCACCUGCUAUUUUCAUGGAUUUGAUGAAUCGGAUCUUUAGGAAGUAUCUGGAUCGGUUUGUGGUAGUAUUUAUUGAUGACAUUUUGAUCUACUCUCGAGACGAAAAUGAGCAUGCUGAACAUCUGAGACUUGUGUUACAAACUUUGCGAGAUAAGCAGUUGUAUGCAAAGUUUAGUAAAUGUGAGUUCUGGUUACGUGAAGUCAGUUUUCUGGGCCAUGUUGUAUCAGCAUCGGGUAUUUGGGUUGAUCCGAAUAAAAUUUCAGCUAUACUUGAUUGGAAACCUCUGAGGAAUGUUUCGGAAGUUCGAAGCUUUCUGGGGCUCGCUGGCUAUUAUAGACGUUUUGUGAAAGGGUUCUCUAUGAUUGCGACCCCGAUGACAAGGCUACUACAAAAAGACGUUAAGUUUGAGUGGUCAGAAAAGUGCCAGAAAAGUUUCGAUCAGUUGAAAGCUCUUUUAACCAAAGCUCCAGUCCUAGUUCAACCCGAAUCGGGUAAAGAGUUUGUUAUCUAUAGUGAUGCAUCUUUAAAUGGUUUGGGCUGUGUAUUGAUGCAGGAAGGCAAAGUUGUAGCCUAUGCCUCGAGACAGUUAAAGCCGCAUGAAAAGAACUAUCCGACGCAUGAUCUGGAAUUGGCCGCUAUUGUAUUUGCGUUAAAAAUAUGGCGUCACUAUCUGUUUGGCGAAAGAUGUCAUGUUUAUUCCGAUCAUAAAAGCUUGAAAUAUUUGAUGACUCAGAAAGAUCUGAAUUUGAGACAGCGUCGAUGGUUAGAAUUGUUGAAAGAUUACGAGCUCGUGAUUGACUAUCAUCCGAGAAAGGCUAAUGUUGUUGCUGAUGCCCUAAGUCGAAAAUCACUGUUUGCUUUGCGUGCAAUGAAUGCACAUAUGGUUAUGUCUGAUGAUGGUGCGAUAGUAGCUGAGUUGAAAGCAAAACCGUUAUUUGUUCAACAGAUUUGUGAAGCUCAAAAAGCCGAUGAUGAUUUAAUUGCAAAACGAACUCAGUGUGACUUAAAUGUUGAUUCAGAGUUUCUAGUUGAUACUGAGGAUUGUUUGAGAUUCAGAAACCGAUUAUGUGUUCCGAAAAAUCCAGAGUUAAUUCAGAUGAUUUUGAAUGAAGCCCAUAAUAGUCGAUUUUCUGUUCAUCCGGGUAGCACGAAAAUGUAUAAUGAUCUGAAACAACACUAUUGGUGGCAUGGAAUGAAACGAGACAUUUCUGACUUUGUUUCGAAAUGUUUAAUAUGUCAGCAAGUAAAAGCCGAGCAUCAGGUACCUUCUGGAUUGCUGCAGCCGAUCAUGAUACCUGAAUGGAAAUGGGACAGAGUUACGAUGGAUUUUGUAUCCGGUUUACCGUUAGCACCCAGCAAGAAAGAUGCAAUUUGGGUUGUUGUUGAUAGAUUGACAAAAUCGGCUCACUUUAUUCCGGUUCGUAUUGAUUAUUCGCUUGAUAAACUUGCUGAAUUGUACAUUUCUCAGAUUGUAAAAUUGCACGGAGUGCCUAUUUCUAUUAUUUCGGACAGAGACCCGAGAUUUACAUCGCGGUUUUGGAAGAAAUUACAAGAUGCUUUAGGUACGAAACUACAUUUUAGAACAGCUUUCCAUCCGCAAACAGAUGGUCAAUCGGAGCGAAUUAUACAGAUACUUGAGGACAUGUUGAGAUGUUGCAUUCUCGAGUUUGAAGGUACGUGGGAACGAUAUUUACCUUUGAUUGAAUUUGCUUAUAAUAACAGCUUUCAAUCUAGUAUUAAAAUGGCACCUUAUGAGGCUUUGUACGGUCGUAAAUGUCGUACACCACUGUAUUGGACCGAGCUUAGUGAAAAUAGGAUACACGGGGUUGAUUUGAUUAAAGAGACCGAACAGAAAGUGAAAGUGAUUCGGGACAGCCUGAAACCAGCAUCAGAUCGUCAAAAAUCUUAUGCGGAUUUGAGAAGAAAAGAUAUAGAAUUUCAGAUCGGCAAUAAAGUGUUUUUGAAAGUCUCACCGUGGAAGAAAGUACUCAGAUUCGGUCGUAAAGGCAAAUUGAGUCCAAGAUUCAUUGGACCGUAUGAGAUUAUAGAACGUGUCGGACCGGUUGCUUAUAGAUUGAUGUUACCACCUGAGUUAGAAAAGAUUCACAAUGUAUUUCAUGUUUCGAUGCUCCGUAGAUACCGAUCUGAUCCUUCACAUGUGAUUUGUCCGACGGAGAUUGAAAUUAACCCUAAUAUGUCAUAUGAAGAAGAACCGAUUAGCAUUUUGGCUCGUGAGAUCAAGGAAUUACGAAAUAAGAAAAUUCCGUUAGUUAAAGUAUUGUGGCAUAAACAUGGAGUUGAAGAAGCAACUUGGGAGUCAGAAGAUACAAUGAAAGAGCGUUAUCCAAACCUAUUCACCGGUAAGAUUUUCGAGGACGAAAAUCCCUAAGGGGGGGAGAGUUGUAACAACCCGGUUUGACCCUAAUCGGACAUAGUGGUUUCGGGACCACAAGUCCGAGACAAAAAAAUAUUUUAAUAUUAUUUUGUGUGUUUAUUUUGUGUGCAUUUGAUUGUGUGAAAUUUUCGUGUUUUAAUUUUGUUGUUUGAGUGUCCGAUUAAACAAAAGGAUUAAAUCGCGAAAAAUGAAAAUUUAGGGGUUAAUUAUAAAAGCACCUAAUUGUUGUUGUCUUUUUAAAUGGAAGGAUUUAUGAUGCAAUAAGACCAUAAAGUAGAUAGUGGGUGAUAUAUGACAUAAUUGACCUUAAUAUAUAUGUUAUAAAAAUUUAUUAUAAUAAGGUUAAUUUAGUCAAAUGUUAAAUUAAACAUUAAAAUUAAAAUAAUUGAUGAAAAGAUGAAUGUUUUCAUCUUAACUUAGCCGAAUUCAUGCAAAAGAAAAAAAGAAAGGAAGUCAAGUAUUAUUCGGCCAUUUUAAAGCUUGAUUAAGGUUAGUUCUUUGUUCGGUUUUUGAUAAUUUUUACGUUUUUGAGAUCGUUGCUUCGAAUACUAUCCAACCCAUGUCUUAAUUUUGUGAAUUGAUGAAUAUUUUGAAUUAUGCCAUUGAUGAAUAUUUGUGUUUUGGGAUGUUUGAUGAUGAAUAAUGAAAGAUAUGUCUUAGAUUAACAUGUUUUGUCUUGGGAUUUUUGAUGAAUUUGAGUAUUUAGGGCUAGAUUGUGAAAAUAAAUUUUUGAGGGACUAAAAUGUGAAAUAAAUGAAAUGUAUGGACUUGUAUGAAUACAAGGAAGAUUCGGCCUAACUAUAGUGUUGUGAGAUUUUGUGUAUUUUGUGUUUUAUGCAAUAGGGACUAAAUUGCAAAAAGUGUAAAAUGUCUGGGGCAAAAUGGUAAUUUGCCCAUUUAAGUGUUUUUGGAUAAAAUUGAAUGAUUUGAUGAAUAAAAGGGUUAAAUUUGACUAUGUUUAGAUCAAGGAACGAAGAAAACGAAUUUGGAUCGGGGGAAAUCGAAGGCAAUCGAAUAGUCGAUCGUGUUUGCUGAUAUCCGAGGUAAGUCUAUUAGCAACUAAAAGUUAUUAAGUUAAUAUUUAUACAUGCAUACUAAUUUUAUCUUAUGAUUGAGCUAUAAUUUAAAGUAUAAUAGUUGAAUAAACUUUGGACUAUAGAUAUUGUAUAUAACAUGUUCGAAUAUACAAGUAUGAUCUUGUAUAAAUUAUUGGAUUAAUCAAAGGUAUGUAUAAGAUAUAGGUAUAUAUAUAUAUAUAUAUGGUUUGAAUGAUUAUAUAUGUGUUGUGUAUUGAAUUUAGUUAUGUCAUUAUAUAAGUAUGCGAGGAUUUAUGUAUAUAUAUAUAUAAAGUCGAAUAAGCAUGCAAAUAUACAUGUAUGUGUUGUGUAUUGAAUUUAGUUAUGUCAUUAUAUAAGUAUGCGAGGAUUGAUUGUGCAUUUAUAUAUGUACAAGUUUUUGUUUUGAAAUUGAGUAUGAAAUUAUACAUUCAUAUGGUAGAUUCGAAUAUGUAUAAAUGCACAUGUAUAAAUUCUUGAAUCGAAAUUUGGUAUGGAAUUAUAUAUGUAUGUGAAAGUUUCGAUUUUGUAUGUAUAUUCACGUAAAAGUUUUUGAAUGGUAGUGAAGAUAUGAAAUUGUUAGUUUGAAUUAUUAUAAAGUGAUUUAAUGUAAUACGGACGUUACGUCUAGCAGGCUUAAUGCCGGUGAAGUAAUUCAGACUUUAAGUCUAGCAGGCUUAAUGCCGGUGAUACAUUUCAGACUUUAAGUCUAGCAGGCUUAAUGCCGGUGAUAUAUUUCAGACUUUAAGUCUAGCAGGCUUAAUGCCGGUGAUAUAUUUCAGACUUUAAGUCUAGCAGGCUUAAUGCCGGUGAUAUAUUUCAGACUUUAAGUCUAGCAGGCUUAAUGCCGGUGAUACAUUUCAGACUAUAUGUCUAGCAGGCUAAGUGCCGGUGUACUGAAUCAGGCUUUAAGCCUAGCAGGCAAAAUGCCGGUGAAUCUGUUUAAAUUGUGUUAGAAUAUGCAAUGGAUAUAUCUAUGAUUUGUGAUUAUAUGAAAUCGAUGAAUACAUAUGUACAUUAGAUAUAUGUGAUUGCUGAAUUUAUAAAUGCAUAUGGUAAUAUGUGGUAGUUAAACAUAUAUAUGUUGAGCCUAUGUGUUUGAUAAUUAAUCAUGUAUGCAUUUGAGAUAUAUAUAUAUAUGUGUGUAUUUCGAAUGUAUGUGUUACCUAGGUAUUCAGGUAUAAAUUCAUAAUGAGUAUAUUUAUAUACAAACAAAUAUAAGAUGUGAUUGAUGUACAUAUAUUUGUGUUAGAUUUGAAUUGAUUUAGAACUUACCAUGAGUGUAUAUAUACAAUCGGUUUGAUAUGUAUAUAAUAUGUAUAUAUAUAUGCUCGGUGGUAUACAUUCAAUUGUAAUGUUGUUUUGUAUAAUAUAUAUAUUAAACUGAAUUCAUCCGACAGGUAUACAUAUCUGACUAUAAAUGAAAUGGUCUGAGUAGAAUAAUGUAUGAAUGUUAGUUGGUUGUGUUAGUUGAAAUUUCAGUAGAAUAGAUUAAAAAGGUUAUAAUAAUUAUGUGUUUAUAAUUAUACAUUUAGUUAUGCUGGAGACUUACUAAGCUAUAAAAGCUUACUUCGUUUGCUUUCGUUCAUUCGUUUUUAUAGAUUUGGAGACGCGUUACGAGCUCGGGGAUCAUCAGCACAGUCCAUCACACUAUCGACUUCUUUUGGUAUUUUGUUAAAUAUUUGAACUCGAUCUUAUGGCAUGUAUAGGCUUGAUAAUGUUUUGGUUAGUUUUGAAUCCUAUUGUGUAAAUAGCAAUGUGAAAAGAGUUUAGUCUCCAUGCUUGAAUUUGAUUAUAUAUGUUCAUGAAUUGGACUUGCAUUUGGAAUUAGAUAUUAAAGUUAUGUUUAUGUGAGCUUGGUUUCGUAAUGCCUCGUAACCCUGAUUCGGCGACGGAGUCGGGUUAGGGGUGUUACAGCAUUGCUGCUCAGUUAACAAUAAAUUGAGGCAAAGCCUCCAGUACGUGGACAAGCCACUUUCAGUACUUCCUCCGUCAAUAUCCCAAUCCCAUGCAUCAGAUAAUAACAACAUGGCAUGCAGUAAAUAACAACAGUCAAACAUGCAUUUAAGUCAAUUUAACCCUAGGAGUAUUUCAGUAAUUUAUCUCCUAGGGGUAAAACUGUAAAUUUUCAAUUUUUAAAGGUAUUUCAGUAAUUUAUCUAUUUUAGGGUUUUUAUGCAUAUUCUUACCUUUCACGUACUACAGAAUCACAUACCGAGGGUUCUUAUCGAAUUGGGCCCAUUGGCCCAUCAUUCCAAUUUUGGCCCAUUAAGCCCAAAAAUAUCGAGGCCACAGAAAUCAUGCACUUUGCAGUCCAAACAUUGCAGCUUACCAAAAACAUUAAUUGAUUUACCUCAUGAGCAUUCGCACACUCGCAAAUCUACAAAAUACUGGUUUUCGGCAUUUCGGCUUUUCGACUUUUGCCGAUCUAGACUAAGAAAGAGGGUGUUAGUUACACACCUGUUUGCGACGAUAUGCUGACGAGAUCCACGCACGAACUGCCUACAAUUGGAUUACUAACACAUUAAUCUAACUAUUCAAAUACGAACUAUGUAUUAAUCCCUUACAAUAUUCGACCAACCGCACCUACAGAUCAUAGUAAGCUUAUAAGAAAACAAUAAGCAACUCUUUAACAAAUUUUUGUCAAUGUUUACCACAUAAUCAUAAUUUCACUGCAAGCUGUCUUCCUGAGCAACAGUCACUAAAUUAUUUAUAACUGGAGCUAGGAAACUCCAAAUCAAGUGCCGUUAAUUUUCUCUGAAAAUAGACUCAUAUAUCUUCUAUCCAUAAAAAUUUUAGAAUUUUGGUAUGGCCAAUCAAUACCAGAUUUUUCUUAAAGUUUCCCAUGUUUCACUCUUUGACUAAUCUGACCACACUUCAUUACCAAUCAAAUUUAUCAUUGUACAGAAUUCAAAAUAUGUUCUCAUUUAUUCCAUUUGAAACUAGACUCAUUAAGCUUUAAUUACAUAAUUUAUUCAGCUUCUAAUUCAUCUCCCACAAUUUAUGGUGAUUUUCCAAAGUCAUGUUAUUGCUGUUGUCCCAAGCAGAUUUAUUACCAAAUUCACUCUUUCACACAUAACUUGCAUGCUUGUUAUUUAAACAUGUAUAUCACCAAUCAAUCAUCAUAUAUCUAUGAUUUUACUUAAGUAUAAUCUUCAUUUCAUCAUUUUAAAGCACAACAUGUUAGCCGAUUUUUUUCCCUUAGCAUCUAAGGCACAUGCAUGUUCAUUUGUUUGGCUCAACUUCACCUAUCUUCCAUUUUUCAUCAAAAGAACAUGAAACAACAACCAUUUCCUUCAUUUUAAUUCAUGACUAAAUGCUCACAACACAACUAAAAACCAAAAUAUGCUUCAAGAGUUAAGGUAGAAUCAAGAAGAACUCAUGAACCUCAAAAUAGAAGCAAGGUACCAUGAACUUACCUUCAACUUUCUUCCCCAAGUGACCGAACAUUCAAGAGCUUUCUCCUCUCCUUUCUCUUCUCUAACUUUAGGCUAUGAUGAACAAAGAUGGACAAAACUUUGUUCUUUUCACCCCUUUUUCUUUUAAUAAAAUUUCAUAUUUCAUCCAUUUAAUUCUUUAAUACAAAAGACAUGAAAUGCCCAUCAUGGAACAUUUACCUAAACCAUUAUCAUGGAACAUUUACCUAACCCAUUAUCAUGGAAUAUUUACCUAAUCCAUUAUCAUGGAACAUUUACCUAACCCAUUAUCAAUUUGUACCAUGAAUUAUAGAUAUCAAGUGCUCAUAUUGUCUACAACAACAUGAUGGUUGGCCACUUUAUGUAAAAUGGGAGGUUUGUCGUGUAAAUCCUCCUAUUUUGCACUCCUAUUUAUUUGGCCACUUCAAUUUAGCCUAUAGCAUUUUCAAACAUUUUCACAUAGGUUCUAUUUCAUAAUUUCACUCACAAAUGACAAAAUCAAAGCAUGAAAUUUUGCCAACAUUCACAGAAUUCCCGAAAAUUGGGGCGUUACAACUCUACCCUUCUUAAAGAAAUUUCGUCCUCGAAAUUUACCUGAUCCAACUAGUUGAGGGUAUUGUUGACGCAUAGUCUCUUCUGAUUCCCAAGUAGCUUCUUCCCUUCCAUGAUUACGCCAAAGUACUUUCACUAACGGAACAGAUUUCCUUCUGAGAACCUUAACAUCUCGAGCCAAUAUUUGCACAGGCUCCUCCUCAAAGGUCAAAUCAGUCUAAACUUCAAUUUCUGCAACUGGCACGGCAUGAGCAGGGUCAGCACGAUAACGCCUUAACAUGGAGACGUGAAAAACAUCGUGAAUCCUGUCUAACUCUGGAGGCAAUUCCAACUGAUAAGCCCCUGGGCCUCCUCGCUUCAAAACCCGAUAAGACCCAAUGAACUGCGGACUCAACUUGCCCUUCUUACCGAACCUUAAUAUCUUCUUCCAAGGAGAAACCUUUAAGAAGACCAUAUCACCUACUGAGUACUCAAUCUCCUUACGCUUCAAAUCUGCAUACGACUUUUGCCUAUCAGAUGCUUCUUUUAACCGGUCCCUAAUUAUUCUGACCUUAUCCUCAGUAUCAGCUACCAAAUCUGGUCCAAGAAUUUGUCGCUCUCCUAGUUCGGUCCAACAACUAGGUGUACGACACCUUUGUCCAUACAGUGCUUCAUACGGUGCCAUUCGAAUACUCGCCUGGUAACUGUUAUUGUAUGCAAAUUCUGCCAACGGAAAGUAAUCCUCCCAACUAGCUCGAAAGUCAAUCACUCAUCCCCUCAACAUGUCCUCCAAAAUCUGAAUAACCCUUUCCGAUUGACCAUCAGUCUGGGAUGGAAAGCCGUACUAAAAUUCAAUCGCGUCCCCAACGCCUCAUACAACCUUUGCCAAAACCGAGAUGUAAAUCUGGGAUCCCGAUCAGAAAUAAUUGAAACUGGGACUUCAUGAAGUCGUACAAUCUUUGCCACAUACAGCUUGGCUAACUUUUGAAGUGAAAAGUCAGUACGAACAGGUAUAAAAUGGGUCGAUUUGGUCAACCUAUCCACAAUCACCCACACCGAGUCUUUCUUUGAUGGUGUCAAGGGCAGCCCACUCACAAAGUCCAUGGUUACCCUCUCCCACUUCUAAAGUGGUAUCUUCACUGACUGUAACAGUCCAGAGGGUAAUUGAUGCUCAGCUUUCACUUGCUGGCAUGUCAGACAUUUCCCUACAAACUCUUACUUCUCGUUUAAGUCCAGGCCACCAGUACAAUUCUCGCAAGUCGUGAUACAACUUAUUCCCUCCAGGAUGCAUGGAACAUAGUCCCCCAUGAGCUUCCUUCAAUAUUGUCUGCCUUAAAUCAGAGUCCCUCGGAACACAAAUUCUUCCUCGGAAACACAGAACUCCAUCACCAUUUAAACUGAACUCAGAAGUUUCCUCUUCCUUAACUUAUUGAAAACAAGCAACCAAAGACUCAUCUUCCAACUGCUUUUCCUUAAUCUGGUCCACCCAGGUUGGCCUUACUUGCAAUUCAGCCAACAAACUGCCAUCAUCAUACAGACUCAAACGAGCAAACAUUGCUCUCAGAUCAGAUACGGUUCUAAGACUUAAAGCAUCGGCUACUACAUUAGCCUUGCCUGGGUGAUACUCGAUCGAACAGUCAUAAUCCUUAAGUAACUCAAUCCAUCUCCUUUGCUUAAGGUUCAGCUCCUUCUGAGUCAACAAAUACUUAAGACUCUUAUGGUCAGUGUAUAUAAUACACCUUUCUCCGUACAAGUAAUGUCUCUAAAUCUUAAGUGUAAAUAUCACUACUGCCAACUCUAAAUCAUGAGUCGGAUAGUUCCCUUCAUGAGGCUUAAGCUAUCGUGAUGCAUAUGCAACCACCUUACCCUUUUGCAUUAACACGCAGCCCAAACCCACGUGUGAUGCGUCACUGUACACACUAAAAUCCUUCCCAGACUCCGGCUGAAUUAACACAGGUGCUUCAGUCAGAACUUUCUUCAACUUCUCAAAAGCUUCCUGCUGCUUCUCAGUCCAUACAAACGGUACUCCUUUCCUUAUAAGUUUUGUCAAAGGUGCUGCCAUCACAGAAAAACCUUCCACAAACCUUCUGUAGUAUCCUACCAACCCUAGGAAACUUCGAAUUUUCGACACCGUCCUAGGUGGCUUCCACUCCAAAAUUGCUUCAAUCUUUCGAGGGUCCACCUUAAUUCCUUCGGCAGAGACCACAUGUCCUAAGAAGGUUAUCUCCCUCAACCAAAAUUCACACUUGCUGAACUUCGCAAAGAGUUCCUUCUCCCUUAACACUCGCAACACUAUACGGAGAUGCUCAUCAUGUUUCGCUUCAGUUUCAGAAUAUACCAGGAUAUCAUCAAUGAAGACGACUACGAAUCGAUCCAAGAAUGGUUGGAACACCCGAUUCAUUAGAUCCAUAAAUGCUGCAGGAGCGUUCGUCAGUCCAAAUGGCAUAACCAAAAACUCGUAAUGACCAUACCGAGUCCUGAAUGCCGUCUUAUGGAUAUCCGCCUCCUUGACUCUUAACUGAUGAUAUCCAGAUCAGAGGUCGAUCUUAGAAAAUACAGAAGCCCCUCUAAGCUAGUCAAACAGAUCGUCAAUCCUUGGCAGUGGAUACUUAUUUUUAAUCGUCAGUUUGUUCAACUGGCGAUAAUCAAUGCACAUCCGCAUCGUACCACCCUUCUUUUUCACGAAUAGCACCGGUGCUCCCCAUGGAGACACGCUUGGCCUAAUGAAGCCUUUAUCCAACAACUCUUGAAUUUGAGCCUUUAAAUCCACUAACUCCUUCGGUGCCAUCCUAUACGGUGCGAUAGACACUGGUGCCGUUCCAGGCAAUAAGUUGAUUCCAAACUCCACUUCUCGGUUCGGAGGCAAUCUUGGAAGCUCCUCCGGAAAAACAUCUUGGAACUCCUUUACAGUCCUAACCUUAUCCACUGUCAGUCCCUCCUCUCCCGAGUGACUUACAAAUGCCAAAUAGGCCUCACAACCCUUUCGAAUCCACUUCUCGGCUCUUAAUGCCGACAUCACAUUGGAAAAAUAAUCCCUUCGCUCACCUAUCACCAUAACCUCCUCAUCCUUUGUGUUUCUUAACACCAUUCGUUUAGCAGCACAAUCUAGAGUCGCCCUAUGCUUAACAAGCCAGUCCAUUCCCAGAAUGAGGUCAAACUUUCCAAACGGUAACUCCAUCAGAUAUCCAGGGAAAACCUUGCCUUGAGUUUCUAAGGUACAUCCCUAUAUAGUUUGUCUACCCUAACCGAGUGACCCAAAGGACUUAGUACAGAUACCCCACUCACAAUCUCCUCAGAGCAGUCCAAGUUGUCCAUAAUCUGUUCUGUGGCCUCUAACCAAUAUUCUGCCACAUUCGGGGCUAUACCAGACACGCCCUUAAAGAUCUCCGCUUCGUUAGCCCAAAGUAAAUUUAGAAAUAGAUCCCUGAACUCCAUUACCCGUACUUGCCCCGGCAACCCUCUCCUGAACAAGAAACAUUGCCUGUGACAGGGCAUCAUCCUCAGCACCGCGGUCAUGAGACUCUACCUCUGUUGCUGGUGGUACAGGUGCAUCCACCGCCGACAUAUGUCUCGAAGACGAAGAUCUCGCUCAAGCACUUCCUCGGCUCUGUCCACGGCCUCUUGUACUCAUAUCGUAUUAUCUUGAUUAUGAAUUUUUAUGCAUCAAUUAAUAUUCCAGUGUUUAUUACAGAUGUUUUAUGAAUCAGACAGUAGUUCAGAGUUUGUUUUCACAGAAUUGAAGUCUAGCUACAGUUUCAGUCUCUUAUCAGAUUUUCCUAUGGUUUCAGUAUCAUCCUAUCUAGAGUAUCCUAGCAGGAUUUUAGUACAGACAGAUAAUUCAGGAAAAUAUUCGGAAAAAUUCAGAAUAAUUACCGACUUGAGCCGGAGAUUCGGAAUGCCACCUUCUAAAGAUCUAAAUUUUGAAAAUCGAGUUUUUCGCAUUCUUUAUAAAAUUUUCGUUUUCGAAAAUCUUUGUUUUUGUAAACCCAUUCCACAGCCGAGUUGUUGCAACCUAGGCUCUGAUACCACUAAAUGUAGCACCCCAAACCCGGCCCAGACGUCAUGGCCGGAUCUGACAUGCCACAUCGAAGCAUUCAAAACAUUUUCGAUCCAGAAAGAAAACUUACUGAGUGUUUUAAAAGAUGAUUUCAUUAUAGGUUAAAGUGAAUGGAAGCUGUGCACCAGGUAGGAAACCAGAAAAGAGGAGGUGAGUCCAUCGGACUGCUUAAGUACCAAACUCCCUUCAGAUCCAAUCCUAGACAUGCAAACCACCAUUGCCAUACCUUAAUGUCAUGUAUAUUUACAAGAAACCGAUUUGAUAAAGUCCUUUUUAGGAAAAGUGAUUAAUUUUGGAAAAUAUCUUCAUUGCGGAAGCUUUGCUUGUUUUCGUAUUAUUUUGAAAUCAAUUACUGUUUUUGAAAACGCGCCCUAAAGCUAUCUAAUUUCAACAUUUAAAAUAUAAAUAUUACCUAUCUUAAUAAAACAUAUAAAAACCAUCAAAAAUAAAUAAGCGGCCUUAUUACAUUUAAAAGCCCAAAACCUCAAACGUAAUUAAAAGGAUGUCCAGUUCACGAGAAGAAAAUCAAACUUUCAGAACGGGUGGCCACUCCGAAUUCCCUCACAGCUCCAAGCCCACUAUGGUUGGGGAUUUCGUGCGUGGAUGAAAAUAAAAGGGGUGAGUUUGGGGAAACUCAGUGUGUAAGGAAAACCCAUUCAAAGCCCAAGUCAGCUCAAGCCUAUUGGGCCUAAGCCCAUUCAAGUAACAGUGGUACUGGACCAAAGCCCUUUUCAGAUUACAAUAAACUGGGCCUUAGCCCCUUAUUCAGAUAACAGUAUGGCCCAUAGGCCCAUUUCAAAAUACAUGCAGCAUCAAUAACAUAUGCAAGCCCAUUUGGGGAGACUACUCAACCCACCAACCACUACACUCCACCCGUACCAGCCAUACACUCCAUGUGGGGAUAGCUCAACCCACCCAGCCCAACACUCCACAGUUGCAGCAUUGCUGCUCAGUUAACAGUAAAUUGAGGCAAAGCCUCCAGUACGUGGACAAGCCACUUUCAGUACUUCCUCUGUCAAUAUCCCAAUCCCAUGCAUCAGAUAAUAACAACAUGGCAUGCAGUAAAUAACAACAUUCAAACAUGCAUUUAAGUCAAUUUAACCCUAGGGGUAUUUCGGUAAUUUAUCUCCUAGGGGUAAAAUUAUAAAUUUUUCAUUUUUAAAGGUAUUUCAGUAAUUUAUCUAUUUUAGGAUUUUUCAUGCAUAUUCCUACCUUUCACGUACUACAGAAUCACGUACCGAGGGUUGUUACCGAAUUGGGCCCAUUGGCCCAUCAUUCCAAUUUUGGCCCAUUAAGCCCAAAAAUAUCGAGGGCACAGAAAUCAUGCACUUUGCAGUCCAAACAUUGCAACUUACCAAAAACAUUAAUCGAUUUACCUCACGAGCAUUCACACACUCACAAAUCUACAAAAUACCGAUUUUCGGCAUUUCGACUUUUCGACUUUUGCCGAUCUAGACUAAGAAAAAGGGUGUUAGUUAACACCUGUUUGCGACGAUAUGCUGACGAGAUCCACACACGAACUGUCUACAAUUGGAUUACUAACACAUUAAUCUAACUAUUCAAAUAUGAACUACGUAUUAACCCCUUACAAUAUUCGACCAACCGCACCUACAGAUCAUAGUAAGCUUAUAAGAAAACAAUAAGCAACUCUUUAACAAAUUUUUGUCAAUGUUUACCACAUAAUCAUAAUUUCACUGCAAGCUGUCUUCCUGAGCAACAGUCACUAAAUUAUUUAUAACUGGAGCUAGGAAACUCCAAAUCAAGUGCCGUUAAUUUUUCCUGAAAAUAGACUCAUAUAUCUUCUAUCCUUAAAAUUUUCAGAAUUUUUGGUAUGGCCAAUCAAUACCAGAUUUUUCUUAAAAUUUCUCAUGUUUCACUAUUUGACUAAUCUGACCACACUUCAUUACGAAUCAAAUUUCUCAUUGUACAGAAUUCAAAAUAUGUUCUUGUUUAUUCCAUUUGAAACUAGACUCAUUAAGCUUUAAUUACAUAAUUUAUUCAGCUUCUAAUUCAUCUCCCACAAUUUAUGGUGAUUUUCCAAAGUCACGUUACUGCUGCUGUCCCAAGCAGAUUUAUUACCAAAUUCACUCUUUCACACAUAACUUGCAUGCUUGUUAUUUAAACAUGUAUAUCACCAAUCAAUCAUCAUAUAUCUAUGAUUUUACUUAAGUAUAAUCUCCAUUUCAUCAUUUUAAAGCACAACAUGUUAGCCGAUUUUUCCCCUUAGCAUCUAAGGCACAUGCAUGCUCAUUUGUUUGGCUCAACUUCACCUAUCUUCCAUUUUUCAUCAAAAGAACAUGAAACAACAACCAUUUCCUUCAUUUUAAUUCAUGACUAAAUGCUCACAACACAACUAAAAACCAAAAUAUGCUUCAAGAGUUAAGGUAGAAUCAAGAACUCAUGAACCUCAAAAUAGAAGCAAGGUACCAUGAACUUACCUUCAACUUUCUUCCCCAAGUGACCAAACAUUCAAGAGCUUUCUCCUCUCCUUUCUCUUCUCUAACUUUCGGCUAUGAUGAACAAAGAUGGACAAAACUUUGUUCUUUUCACCCCUUUUUCUUUUAAUAAAAUUUCAUAUUUCAUCCAUUUAAUUCUUGAAUACAAAAGACAUGAAAUGCCCAUCAUGGAACAUUUACCUAAACCAUUAUCAUGGAACAUUUACCUAACCCAUUAUCAUGGAAUAUUUACCUAAUCCAUUAUCAUGGAACAUUUACCUAACACAUUAUCAAUUUGUACCAUGAAUUAUGGAUAUCAAGUGCUCAUAUUGUCUACAACAACAUGAUGGUUGGCCACUUCAUGUAAAAUGGGAGGUUUGUCAUGCAAAUCCUCCUAUUUUGCACUCCUAUUUAUUUGGCCACUUCAAUUUAGCCUAUAGCAUUUUCAAACAUUUUCACAUAUGUUCUAUUUCAUAAUUUCACUCACAAAUGACAAAAUCAAAGCAUGAAAUUUUGCCAACAUUCACAGAAUUCCCGAAAAUUGGGGCGUUACAUUUAGUUAAUUAAAUAAGAAUGUUUUUACAUAAUACAUUUAUAAUUACUCAAUUUACUUUCGAUUCAAUAGGUUUGGAGUGAGAAGGACGUCAAUGACGAAGUUAAAUGGCUUUCCCACGGUCUGAACAGAGUAAUAAAAGGAUAUAGUGCAUUCCUCAUCAAUGGAUACAGAUUUCAUACAAAAUAUCGCGAGAGAAUGAGGAGAACUCAAAAUUGUGGAAUUGUUGUUAAUUCUUCAAUUACAAGUUAUGCUAGUGCUAGGGACAGUAAUCUAGUUGAGGGUAAUGUGGAGUAUUACGGACUUCUUACCGACAUUAUUGAGUUGGAUUACUAUGGCAGAUGGAAAGUUGUCUUAUUUCGGUGUGAUUGGGCUGAUGUUAAUACUGCUCGCGGAAUUAAAAAAGAUCAAUUUAGUUUUACAAUGGUUAAGUUUUCUCGCUUUAUUCACACUGGACAACAAUUGAUGGACGAGCCAUAUGUAUUUUUCUCUCAAGUGAAACAAGUUUUUUAUUCAAAAGAUCCAACUGAUAAGGGUUGGUAUGUUGUACUCCAGAACACCCCUAUAGACUUGUUUGACAUGGGUAAUGGAAGUAGAGAUGACAUCGUCGAAAGAUCAGAAACAUUACCUUUUCCUGAACAAAACUUAGAUGAAAAUAUCCCUAGUACUAGUACACAACAUCAAUGGGUUCGACAUGAUGUAGAUGAGGAUAUUUACGAAUAAUGAUGUAGUAAGAUUUUACGAUUUUUUAAUUAUAUGUAAUAUUAUAAUUUUAAUCUUGGUCAUGUUAUAUAAUUUAACUAUUUUAUAUGUACUAUUAUUGUUGUAAUUUGUUACUAAAAUUUCAACUAUUUUAUGUGUAUUGCAGGAAAAAUGCGUAGAAGAAGAUUACGAGAUUUAAGUAUUGUCCAGAAUACUCAAAAUUCGGAAGAAGCAAAUAGUGAACAGCAAACAGUUGUUGGAUCUUUGAAUGUGCCGGAGACACUUGACGAGCCUGGAGAAUUUCAAAGUAAUGUUAAGUUCAUUUUACAUGUGUUGACUUUUAUUAUUGAUUUAUUUCUCAAUUUUAAUAUAAUAAUAGUAUAUCGUUUCUCAGCUGAAAGAGGUGCGACGCACAGAGGUCGAGGCCGUACGCUGCUUAAAGAUUUAUACAGCUUAGAUCCUGUUAGCGUGUCAAAGUAAGUAGAAACAGUCAUGGUUAGCCUGUUGGAUCUGAAGCUCGACUUUUAGCAGGUUAUUUGGGCAUUUUAACACGAAAUACCAAUAUGUUGCCCAUCAACUACGAAUCAUGGCAUCACAUGCCUGAUAGCAACAAAAAUCAGGCUCUCGCUAAUAUUAAGGUAACAAAAUGUGAAUGUAAUUUAUAAUAAUUUGGUUUAAGUUUCAUUUAUAUUUACAUUCUAAACUUGUGUUUUUUUAGGAGAGAUUUAUUUUAGAGGUAUUUGAUGACCAUAUUAAGAAGGCAUUGGGUAAAAAAUGGAGAGACAAUAAAAGCACUUUGAAAAAACAAUAUUUUAAGAAAGAUAUAAGCCUCGAGGAAAAUGUCCCGCCGGGAAUGCUAAGGUACCAAUGGGAAGAUGCGGUUAGAUUCUGGAAUUCAAAGAAAUGAGAGAUAUUACGUAAUUCCAAACUUUUAUAAAUUUUUCGGUAUAUACUGUUUACUAAAUACGUAAUAAUAAUUUCAUUAUGUAGGACUGUGAGCGAGUUGGAACAAGCAGCAGACAAAAACAAAAAUUCAUGCACAUGGCAGGGUCGAGAAGUUUUGCUUCUGUAGCUGAGGCCGAGGUAUUAUGAAUUUAUUAAUUCUGUCAAAUAUUAAAGACUUUCUACUAUUAAAUAAUAUUUUUACUACUAUAUUGUAGGUAGUUUCGUCCGGUCAAAAAGUUGGACGCCUUCAGCUUUUUGAGAUUACGCAUAGGAAGAAAGAUGGAUCUCCUAUGACAUCUGAAGCUGGAGAAAUUAUGGUAUAUUUAUUUAAUAAAAUUUGAUUUAUUAUAAAUAUUUAUAAUGUUUAAUUAUAAUGGUUUAAUUCAUGUUAAGUUAUGUUGCAUUCCUUUUUAUUAUAUAUUCCAUUUCUAACUAUUUGAUUGAUUUAUUAGGAGAAACUAAAGGAGAAGAAGGCGAAGUAUGAAGCGAUUGCUUCGACUGAUAGUUCUGUUAAUCUUGAUAACAUUGAUAACAGAAUUACCACUGAAGUUUUGGGUCCUGAAAGAUACGGUCGGGUUCGAUUUCAAGGAUCUGGUGUUUCCCCGACCCAAUAUUUUGGAUCCGGCUCCCAGCAAUACAUGCCUUCCGGGAGUCAAGCUCAAGCUGAAGUUUAUAGGUUAAGAGACCAGAUAGCUCAGAUGCAAGUGAACACGGUUGAGCAAAUUGCCGAGGUUCAAAGAAAAUAUGAAGAACUCCAGAAACAACUUGGAGCGGAGGCAGCAGAUAGGGAGGCAGCAGCAGCAGCGAGGGAGGCAAAGGCGAGCAGAAAGUAUGAUGAGCUCCAGCUACAGCUUCAGCAGAUGAUGCAGAUGUUUCAGCAGUCGCAAAAGUCGCCAUCUUAGACAUUAGUGUUCUCGUUGUAAGCAUGUUUUUAACUUUGUCACAUUUAACAUUAUUGUAAAAAUAUUUUAAGUUAUAUUUUAUUUAUUAAUUACAUCAUAUAUCUUUCGUUAAAUUUGAAGUAUCAUUUAGAAUUAAUGUUUUUGGUUGUAUUUUUUAUGCUAAAUUUGCUGUUUUUGGUUCAUUUCAUGCUAUAUUUGUUGAUUUUGGUUGGAUUUAAUGCAUGAAGGGUUGGAUAUUGGUGAAAAAUGUACAUAUGGGAAAAGCAUCGCUAAAAGUUAGGGCUUUUAGCAGCGUUUGUGAUAAAAACGCCACUAAAAGCCCUGACUUUUAACGGCGCUUUUCCAAGAAAUGCUGCUAAAAACCCUGACUUUUAGCGGCGUUUUUAGAGAUAAGCGCUACAAAUUUUUGCGGCGUUUCCUAUAGCAGCCUUUGUUGCGGUGCUUGUGAAAACGUCGCAAAUAGUUUUAGCGGCGCUUAAAGGCUAAAAAAAGGGCCGCUAAAAGUCUAUUUUCUUGUAGUGGUACAAUUAUUAGGUACGUCCUUCAAAGCUAAAGAGAAUACAUACACAUACACACACAAAAAGAAAAAGAAAAACUGUUUGACAUGGCAAAUCCACCUUACAUAUACUUUCUCACUCCAUUGUAAGAACUUGAAGAGAAAUUCCCAAUAAAUAUAAUUAACCUAAAAUAUCUUGAAUUAACCAUUACUUCACUUCCUAUAAAUCUAAAAAUAACAUAAAUUUCUAAACACCAAUAUAAAAUGCCUACAAUAAAUCCAAUUCCAUCGUUACUUAAAAAAAAUACAAUUGACCGUAAGCUAACUUCCUAUGAAACCAAAACCAAUGACUGAGUGAAAUUAACAUAACUUGCUUAAUACCCAGAUGAACAAAUACAAAAUUGAAGAUAAAUAAAGAAACGUAGCACCAAAUGAACUAACAUUUGUAGAGAUCAAAUGAAAAAUAUUCAUUAAGAAAAGGGUUUAUAGGAGGAAAAAUACCCAACCUGGAAUGGGAGAUAAGAAGCUGAAAAUAUAUUAGAGACCCAUAACAAAUUUUGACAAUCAAAGAAUCAAACAAAAAAAAACAAGAAUCAAACAAAAAAAAUAGUUGGUGCCUUUAGUUUCAUAAGCCAAGGAAACAAAUAAAUAUAUCAGAGACCCGUAACAAAUUUUGACAAUCAAAGAUGACUAUGAGAAGAGUUAUGAAGUUUUAUACAGGAAGAGUUAUGAAGUUAUGAGGAAGGAGAAAUAGAAAAUAGGAGAUGAAAUAAAAAAAGAAAACGUACCGGAGAUGAAGAUGAAGGGCGAACGUACUGUUGAUUUGGGGAAAAAUGUUGGAAGAAAUCUGGAGCAAGGGAGAAGAAAGCAGGCUAUUUUGGGAAGAAAUUUUACGCGUGUGGUGUUGAAUAACAAUUCAGAGCCCCCACCCCGGAAUACCUAUUACAGCAUCUGAGGGAAUAUGAUUGUAAUAGCAAAGCUAUGUAAUUAUGUAAACGGUGAACCAAACAGUGUAAUAGCAAAAAAUUACUGUAGCACGCGAAAUUGGGUAGGAAUGGAAUAGCGAUUCCAUCCAACCAAACGUGCUGUAAGUUUCUUUUCUCUUAUUUCUUUCUUCUUCUCCUAAUUUUGUUGCUAGAUUUUAUCAUUCCCUUAUAAACAUUAUUCAGUUUCAAGGGAAUUCUUUAGUUUUCUACACCUAUUUCUUAUUCCCUUUUUAGUUGUUUGGAAUUGUACUAGCGUCAAGGGGGAGGGUCAAGGUUUAUGAGCACCAAAGCCGAAGAGUUCACUGUGGAAACUCAAUGGUUGCAAGUGAUAAUAAACCACAGUUCCAAGACACUUGUACUUCAGCAAUGUCUCCACUAUAUAGUUGCCUAUCCACCUAAGAGGAAAUGGUGAAUUACUUGGUAGCCCAAGGUAUUCGGUUGCCAAAUUUCGUUUCUCACUUCAAAAUCGUCUACGGGUAAAGAUGUCUAAAUGAUUCUAGUAAAGGUCUCAUACUGUCUCUCUAUCUAUUAGAGACUGGCUUCAACCUUCCAUUGCACCCUUCAUUCUUCACAAUCCUUGAUGAGUACAGUAUUGCACCAAGGCAGUUGUAUGGUCUAUCCUGGUGGACUUUGGUGGCGCACUUAUUAAACUGUAGCAUUCAAAAUAAGCCACCCAUGCUUGGCGACUACUAAAACUUCUAUCAUUUGAAGGUCCAAACUCAAGGGCCCUCACUUGGAAUUUUCAGGGUUUGCCAAGGCUAAGAACCUAUUCUCAAGAAUUGGGCUUCAAACCUUCACCUGAACUGCAACAAAUUCAUCUUGGUGAGAAUUAAGCUCCCUAGUGAGUUCGAUUUCCCCACUAAGUGGUCAAUUCCCAAGGAAUCCACUUGCCUCCAAUUUUAACCCUUGUACACAAAGGCUCCUCACAGUUAGGAAUGUCUUUCGCUAAUUUUUAUAGGGAAGAAGCCCAAAUGGUUUGCAGGCAACUGAUCUUUAUCUAGGCAUAAACCCUAGGGUGGUGCAGUCCGCUAAAGAGGUGUGGCCAUUUGGGGCCAACAACGUGUAACGCCCUAAAUUUCUUUAAUUUCGGCUUUUGUAAUUAUUGAGCAUGGAAAUAACUGAACAACUAAGUUUGUGUUAUUUUUGGUUACCUGAUUACCUGAUUCUUUUCAAGUCACGUCCAAGUAAAUUCCUUUCUUGAUUACAUUGCUUAUUUGUUUCGAGCUAUGUUCUCAAUUAAUUCCUUUCUUGUCCAUGGUUAUGAUCUUUUUUCAAGCAUUUUGCAUUGAAAUAACGAUUUUUGGGCUAAUAAUACUUUCAUAAAAGGAGUUUCGCAUAUUACUUUGGGAAGUUUCUAAAUAAUACAGGAGCCUGAAACUGGAUUAUUGUUUAAAACUCACCAAGCUUAAGGGUUGGAAAUAUUUAAGCCCAAAUUGGGAUUAUCUCCUUGGAUUUUCUGUCAAAGAUAUUAAUUGGUGUUAUAAUCCCGGUAAAAAACAAGUAAUGGGGUUAUUCUUGAGAAAAGAAAAAUGGUAUUCUGUAUUCCUACAGAUAUCAGACAUAUAGGUCUGUUCAUUAUACCCAGGGAAUGGUGUAACAGAUCCAAUGAUUGAAGAUGAUGCAAAUCCUAUACCUCUGAGUUGCCACAGGAUGGAUAAAAGAAAUCAAAUGAUUAUUCCCCUGAGGUUGCAGUGGGAAGUUCAAACUUUAUGUCCUAGAAGUUACAGUGUAAUGGACUCUGAAAUUACAGUGGAGCAAGCUUGCUGAACAAAAUGUGAUUGUUUCUUUGGGUCUUCUGCAAAAAAUACCAGCUAAACAAGAUGGCAGCAUAAUAAAUCAGUGAUAGUGCCCUGAUGAACAACAAGUGAUGAUACCUUAAGCAUUUAAAAAAAAAGAGAUCAUUCAAAAAAAGAUCAUUUUUAUUUUUGCAUUCAUAUAUCAUUCAUAACACGUUAGGAGCAUUUGAUUCAUUUCGAUCAUAGCAUCCUAAUUAUUUGACAUCAGCAUCACAUCUAAUUAGGAGUAUUUGAUUCAUUUUGAUCAUAACAUCCUAAUUAUUUGACAUAAGCAUCACAUCUAGUUAGGAGCAUUUGAUUCAUUUCGAUCAUAGCAUCCUAAUUAUUUGACAUCAAUAUCACAUCUAGUUAGGAGUAUUUGAUCAUAGCAUCCUAAUUAUUUGGGCAUAAGCAUGAUACAUGAAACCGAGUCUACAAGACAAGUCCAAGAGGACGGUGUAGUAACAUCGGUGAAGUCAGACUUAUAUCCCUGAAGUUACAAUAGAGUAGGUUGAAGUGACAAGCCUUAUCUCCCUGAAGUUGCAGUGGAGCAGGCUCAAUAUACAAGUCUUAUCUUCCUAAGGUAGCAAGGAAGCAGAUUGAAGGUUGAAGAUCUUAUCUCCCUAAGCAGUAGUAGGGCAGAUCGAAGAUGGCGAAUCUUAUCUCCAUGUAUCGGCAAUGGAGCAGAUUUUAGCCACCAGCCUUAUCUCUCUGAAGUAGCAAGGGAGCAGGUUGGCGAUUGUAGUCUUAUCUUCCUGAGGUAGCAAGGAAGCAGACUGAAGAUUGAAGAUCUUAUCUCCAUGUACCGUAAUGGAGCAGAUUUUAGCCACUGACCUUAUCUCUCUGAGGUAGCAAGAGAGCAGGUUGAAGAUGAUAGUCUUAACUUCCUGACGCAACAAGGAAGCAGACUAAAGAUUGAAGGUCUUAUUUCCCUAAGCAGUAGUGGAAUAAACCAAAGACGACAAAUCUUAUCUCCAUGUACCGGCAAUGGAGCAGAUUUAGGUCACCAGCCUUAUCUCCCUGAAGUUGCAGUGGGGUAGGCUCGAUAUACAAGUCUUAUCUCCCUGAGGUUGCAGUGGAGCAGACUGAAGAUUGAAGGCAAAUCUUAUCUUCAUGUAUCGACAAUGGAGCAGAUUUAAGCCCCAAGCCUUAUCUCUCUGAGGUAACAAGAGAGCAGGUUGAAGAUUGAAGUCUUAUCUUCCUAAGGUAGCAAGGAAGCAGACUGAAGAUUGGAGGAAAAUCUUAUCUCCAUGUAUCGGAAAUGGAGCAGAUUUAAGCCUGAAGCCUUAUCUCUCUGAGGUAGCAAGAGAGCAGGUUAAAGAUUGAGUCUUAUCUUUCUGAGGUAGCAAGAAAGCAGACUAAAGAUUGAAGAUCUUAUCUCCCCUAAGCAAUAGUGGAGCAGAUCGAAGAUGGCGAAUCUUAUCUCCAUGUACUGGCAAUGGAGCAGAUUUUAGCCACUAGCCUUAUCUCUUUGAAGUAGCAAGAGACCAGGUUGGCGAUUUUAGUCUUAUCUUCAUGAGGUACCAAGGAAGUAGACUGAAGAUUGAAGAUCUAUUUCCCUAAAGCAGUUGCGGAGCAGAUUGAUAAUAGCAAAUCUUAUCUCCAUGUAUUGGCAAUGGAACAGAUUUAAGUCACUAGUCCUAUUUGCUUACAGUCAGAAUCCAGCAAAACCGGGCAAAAUUGGCCCUAUUUGAAGUCUUUUCUCUAUUCUCAUUACACGACAAUGAGUAAAGAGGGGCAGCUGUAAUGGCCCAUUUUUUCCCCGGGCCCAUACAAAAAUAAAAAAACAAAAUAAACCAAAAUACAAAAACCAAAAUUAAAGUCCAAUGUCCAUAAUACCCAAGCCCAAAAUCCAAAAUAACAAGACCCAACAAAAUACGGCCCAAAUGACCCAAAAAAAACCCCCAAACCCUAGCUUGCUGCCUAGUGCAGACACCAGCAGCUUUCGCCCAGCCUCCAUGCUCCACAACAGCCUCCACACUCACGAACGGUUUCUCCACGCCAUGCACACCUGCAACAAUCGAAAACCAAAUAGCAAAUGACAGCAAAGAUAACCGAAUUACAGCAAUCAAAUAGAGGAGAAAAAGGGAAAAAUUGUAAAUAUUAUAUUUCAUUUUUGGCUAUAAAAAGCCAUUGUAAAUACUGAUUUUGGGGAUACACAGAUUGAAAAAAAACAAUCAGAAUUGAAAAGGUGAUUCAAGUUUUCAGUUUUUUUUAUUGAGUUUUUCAGAUUUCGUUUUUUUAAUAUUUUUUCUCUUCUCUUCUUUUCUCUCUUAUUUCGCAUGAAGUGAAUAAAGGAAAAGAGUACUUGCCUUUGGCCUUUGAUCACAUCUCUUUUGCACAUGGUCGGCCACCAAGCUUGAUGGUGGUUCAGCGGUGACUUUGAGAGCCCUAACAUUAGGGAUUUGAUUUGCUGUUUGCAAAAAUGGCAAUGCCAUUCAGUUUUUUUUCUUUAAUUUUGAUUGCAAAGAAACAACGCCGUUUCAAGGGGAAAUGUUUGUUUAUUUUCUGCAGAUGGUUAAUUUAUACGAUUAAUCCCUCCCAUUCGCGCUGAUUUUCAAUUGGAUCCUAUUUGUGUUUUAUUUGUUUUUUAAAUUUUUCCUAAAAUCUGUGUGCUAUUUCAAUUCAGCCUGCGUUUAAGCUUUAUCUUUUGGGACCAGGAUUAUUUCCAACUUUAGUCCCUUAGCAUUUACGCGCAUUAUGCAUUAGCCCUCUGUUUAAUUUCAAAAUUUAUAAGUUAUCCCCUUUCAUUUUAAAUUUAUUUCAAUUAGGAUUUUUUCUUAUAUGAUUUAUUAUUUUUGAGGAGACUCAUUUAAUAUAUUUUUUAUGUGUCAGAAUUGUUUUAAUAAUUUUUAUUUUUGUUUAAAUAAAUCUUUGUUUUGAAAUCUUUAUACUAUUUUACAUUACGUAUAGAAUUUGAUUUAAAUAUUCAUGUUGAGCUUUUUAUUUGAAAUGCUUAUUAUUUUAAAAUUCACUUAAUAUUCUUAUAUAUGUGUUAAUUUUAAAAAAAAAGAAAUAAUUUUGUUUUAUUUUUAUUUGUACAAUUAUUUUGGAGUUGAUUUUAUUAUAUUAUUUUUAACAUUUUUUUAUAAUUUUUCGUCUAAAUAUUUCUGGAUAUGUUUGUACAUAUAUUAUUUUAAUGGGCUUUUUUAUUUUAAAAUACUUAUUGUUUUAAAAUUUAUUUAAUUAUCCGUGUAAAGUUACUUGGGAGCUCCAUUUUUUUGUGUUAAUAAAAUUAUUAUUUUGAAAUUCCUCAUUAUGUCAUAUUAUUUUAACAUAUUAUGUAGUAUCUCAUUUUAAGUGUUUUUAUGUAUAACGGUACGUAUAUAAUUUAUAGAUCAACUUAAUUUUAUAUAUAUUAUUAAUCUCAUGCUAUUUUUUACAAACAAUUAUUCCUAAAUCUAUUUAUGUAUGCAUGUUUUUUUAAUCUAUUAUGUGUACUAUACCUUAUCAUGUAUUUUUAUUAUUCUUUCAUAUUUUAUAUAUUAUUUAAGUUAUCAUGUACAUAGUCAAUUUUUGAAUGAAUUUAUGUUUAAAAUAGUUUGCAUAUAAUUCAAUUCAAACUUUUAUUCUAUAAUAUCUAUUUCAAUAAUUAUAUAUCCCUAGUCUUUGUGCAAAUUUGUCAACUUAUCUAUUAUAUAUAUUAUGUAUUCAUUAAUUCAUCAUUAUUUUGAAAAUGUCUUAUACCACAAUUGACUUCUAAUUUCCAUUUUAUUUUGUACAUGUUUUGUGGAUCGUUUCAUAUUGUGCCAUAUUUAUUGUUGUUGUAUAUUAUUUAGUCAUUGUUUUAUCAAUUGUUCUCCAUCCAUUAUUAAGAAUUUGGUUACAUUUCACUUAGAAUAAUUGUACUUAAUUGUUGGAUUUAUUAGUUGUGAUUUAUUGUACUUUAUGUGUGGACAUUAUUUCGUGUUUAUUCAUUUCUUUUUACGAAUGUUUUCUUGUAAUACCUCAAAUGUUCCAUCUCAUUUUAAAACAAAUAAAUGUGUUUUGAGCGAAUUUUUAAUUUUCCUUAUUAUUCAAAAAUUCUGAAAUAAGGCAAUAUCCAAUAUUUGGGAAUUCGAGAAAUCGUGCUCAAUCGUGCUGGGUAUGAUUUUUCCGGUGAACUAAAUAUUUGGAUAACCUUUUUAUAAUUUUAGUGUACGAGUUUUUGAAAGUCAAAAGUCGAUCGUAUUUUUGAAGGUAUAAAGGAUCGUAUCUAAUCGUGCUGGGUAUGAUGCUGCAUAUCUUUGAAAUGAGAGAAUUUUGACAGUUAACUUGAACUAUUCACACAUUUUAAAGAAUCAUGCUUUGAAAGAUCUUUUUUCUUAAAAUCUUUGAUAUAAGGAUAGCAUCGAAUCAAUUUGGUACCAAUUUUUGGGCGUAAUGAGGGUGCUCAUCCUUCCUCAUGCGCAACCGACUCCCAAACCCAUCUGUUUUUGAUUUUAUGUGAACCAAAAUUGUCUUUAAUGGAACAAAACAUUUUAAUAGGUGGCCCAAUCACACCUAAACCGGCAGAUUGGUGGCGACUCCACAUUUUUGUUUUAAAAAGUCAAUUCCCAUUUUUCCUAACUCUAAAAAAGGGUUUCAACACAAUCUAUAAUUCAACUUUUAAACUUUACGCAUUUGAUCCUUAUAUUUUAAUAAUCUUAAUACGUGCAAUUUACUAAUCCAAAAUCCAAUUCGCUACUAGACUAACUUCGUAAAUAUUUAAUAAAAAUAUUCACAAGCUCGUUUUACAAGAACGAAGUCCCGAGCUUCAUUUUUCCAACAUCCUUGAUUAUCGAGUCGUUAUAGUUUCACAUUUUAUUCAACUUAGUCUCUAAACCAAAUUUGCCAUAACUUUCAAAUUUGAGCCUCGAUUUUGAAAAUGAUAUCAAUUAUAUCUUUCUAUAACCUUCAAUAAUAUAUAAUUAUAGAAAUUUAACAUUAAUUUUGAAAUUUAUGUAGUUCAGUCCUUAUGUUUAAAAACUAGCAAUUAAACUUUACAAACUAGUCCUUUUUCAUUUCAAAAGUUAAAAUCUAACAAUUUAGUACAAAAAAUUCAAGAAAUCAAUAAUGGCAAAUUUUGAAAACUUUAACAUUUUUGCAAAUUGGUAAACGAGUGAUCUAAAUCAAGCUUUCGAGGACCUCAAAAACAUAAAAAUUACAACAAAUGAGCUUGAAAUCACAUACCAAUUGAAGGAUUAAAGUUUGGAAGCUUUGAAACCCUUUUCUCCUUUGUUCAUACGGUGAAGAAGAUGAAGAUGAGAAAAACUGUUUUGAUUUUCUUUUUAAUUUACCUUUUAAACUUAGUUUAAAAUUAAUAGACUUAAUUAAUUUAGUUUAAACCUUAAUUAACUUAAUACUAAUCAUCAGUGUAAUAGGCCAAUAAAAACAAAAAAACCAAACCAAAUCAAUAAAAGUCCAAAAUUUGCAGUCCAUGUUUUACAAAUACCAGAGCCCAAUUUACAACAUGCAUAGCCCAAAUCAAAACUACCCAAACCCAAUUAAAACCCAAUUACAAAGCCCAAAACAAAUCAACCAUAGCCCACUCUUAACAUUUUCAGAGAGCAAAAGAACCCUAGCCACCUCUGCCUUCAGCUGCCACUCCGCCCCAUGCACGCCGCACGUCAGCAGGUCUUUUCCCUCACGCUAUCGCCGGCCUUCAUGCGUAUCUGACCCCUCUGACACCUGCAAAGAAGAAUCCUCACGCAAACAGUAUCAGGCAACAAGCAAAAGACAAAAACGGAUCUGUGUAACUCGGCUAUAAAAGCCGAAAUAAAUCCCUUUGUAAUUUUUUACACACACUAGUAAUUCAAAAAAGCAAAACAGAAGUUUGAAAAGAUUGAUUUUGAUUUUCUUUACUUUUUUUCUUUUUGUUUUCUAGUUUCUUUUUAUUUUUUAUUAUGAAUCUAUUUAAUAAAAAAAGGGGCGUAAAAUAAGAAGAGGAUGAAGGGAAAACUUACCUAGAAUCCUUCGUGGUUGUGUCGUCUGAGUCCCUCUCUCCGUCCCUGAAAGCGAACCCAAAAGGGGGAAGAGAGAGACAUUUUUCUCUCGAUCCGUAGGCUAAGAAGGCUUAGCCUUCAAACAUGUAACAGGGCUGAAAAGCCCGUUCUGUGCCGCUCCGACCACCGUCCACGGCAGAGGAGCGGCGGGCUGGCAACAGUGCCCCAAGGCUAGGUCAAAACCCUAGCAGAGAAAAGGGGGAGGGGUUUAAAAGUUUUAUUUAAAAAAAAAAGAGUAACAGAAUGAAUUUUUAAGAAAAAAAUUGGUUUUUAUACAGCAAUGAAACGGUGCCGUUUAGCACCAAGGUCAUCAGCACCAAAACAGCGCCGUUUAGGGUGACUCUCGUGUGACCCGACCCAUUCCAGGGGGAUCCGCGCGUUUUUGCUAAAUGGGCUAUUUACGCCCAUAGUCCCUCCACAUUUUUUAUUCAUUUUAAUUUAGUCCUUUUGUUUUUUUAUUUAUUAAAUUUAACCCCAGAAUUUGCUGCGCUUUUCAAAUCAGUCCCAAGCUCGCUGAUCCUCUGGGGAAGGGACCUCGUGUCUAGGGAUGGUUUUUUUGCCCACUUAGUCCUCUUCCCUUUCGCGCCCUUUCAUUUUGGUCCCUCUUUGUUUUUUUAUUAUAGUUUUGACUUUUAAUUUUAUUUUUGUCCUAAUUUAGUCCUAAAUCUGUUUGAUUUCAAUUUGUUUUCGUAAAUUUAUUAUUUAUUCGUUUUAAACCUUUCUUUCCUCAUAUAUUAUAUAUCCUAAAUUGUUUUAUUACUAUUUAUUUUAAGUUUUUCACAUAUUAUGUAUUUUAAACUAUUAUCCAUUUUAAAUUUAUAUAUAUUAUUUAUUUUAAAAUAUUAUAUAUUAUUUAUUUUGAAUUUCUUUUUUAUAUAUCUUUUAUUUUUAAACUGCUUUGUAUAUUAUUUAUUUUAAAUUUCUUUUUACCUAUUAUAUAUCUUAAACUCUUUCAUAUUUCAUAUGUUGUUUAAAAGGAUCUUAUAUAUUAUUUAUUUGAAAUUUCUUUGUAUAUUAUUUAUUGUAAUUUGUUUUACAUAUUAUUUAUUUUAAAUUGUUUUAUAUUAUUUACUUCGAAUUUUUUUAUAACUUAUUUUGUUUCAUUUUCUUCGUUUGUAAUAUUGGUAUUUAAACGGUGUAUUACAUGAAUAUUGCCAUAAUAUGCUCUAGAAAUUUUUAUUUAAUAUCUUCAUAUUGUUGACAUUCAUUAACAUAGCAUUUAAUUCAUGUAUUAUUAUUCCAUGCUCCAUAUUGCCUUUUUAUUUUAUUUCGUUUGAAUUACAUCGUGUAUUAAGAUCCAAUAUGUUUAUCAAAUAUAGAUCGUUCUAUUUUACUCCAAACAAAAUAAAUGCACAUCGAUUAAGUAUUGUAUUGUUAUUAUUCAAAGAAGGAAAAACUUUAAAACAAGGCAAUAUUUCGCAUUUUGGAGAUUCGAGAAAUUGUACCUUAACUUACGAGGUUUCAAUUUUCUUGUUAAACCUAAAUAGCCAAAUAUCCUUUUAGAUUUCAAAACAAACUUGUUCCCAAGGGUUCAAAUGUUGCAUCCUAACUUACGGGAUGUCGCAUAUUGUAUCGCGGGAUGAGUAGGCUUUGAUGCUCGUUUCAAUUUAAUUCAAGCAUUUUUAAAAUGAACGUUAAUAAAAAGGGAUCGUGUUUCUAAUUCUUUCCAAACUUUCAACAUUCGACAUUAAGACAUUAAUCAAUCGAUUAGGUGCCAAUUUUGGGCAUUACGAGGGUGCUAAUCCUUCCUCAUACGUACCCGACUCCCGAACCUAUUUUUCUCUGAUUUCAUAAACCAAAAUCAUUAUUUUAAUAAAUCAAAAUAUUUUAUUAAAUUGACCAAAUUACUAGGUGAUCCGAUCACACCUCAAAAAAUUGGUGGCGACUCCAUUUUCGUUUUUAAAUAACUCGACAUCCAUUCUUUUCAAAAAAAAAUGGUUUCGACAAUCGUUAAGCAAAUAUAAGUGGAAGAUGGCAUAAUCUUCCACUAUUCACUAAUAGAAAUUAGCCUAAUUGCUUAAUUGGUCCUUCGAUUAAAAAAAUCUAUAGCGAUUAACUAUUAAAAUUUUUAUGAUUUAAUCCUUAUACCUUAAUUAACUAUCCAAUUGACAAAAUUAAAAGUCAAAACUUUAAUUAAACUUUUUACUAACCUCAUAAAUAUUAAAUAAUAAUAAUUAUGGGCUCAAAUAUCAGAAAUGAGUAUACAACAAAAUAUUGCAGAUGAAAUCUGCCAAUGGUCAUGUAAGCACAAAAUGCUCGCAAAUGAUAAAUGUCAAAGGGUUGUGAAUACAAAACAAAACAUCACAGGUGGAAUCUAUUAUGGCUGUGGAUACACAACAAAAAUAAAUGUAGAUAUACUGCCAAUACUUCCUCCGAUCAUAUCAUCCCAUCCCAUGCAAUGCAAUGUAGCACAUUUAAUACAAAUCACAUUUGGUAGCAUUUAAUGUACUGUUAUGGAAAAUCAGUAACAAAAUCUUGUUUUUCAUGUAUUCAGAUUAGCAACCAUAUAGGGCAUGACAUUCAUACGAUCGCAAGGAUAUAUAUACAAUAGUAACAUAUACUGUUCAUAAUUCAUAUAAAUAUAUCUGCAAAAUACAUACCACAUUAAUUCAAUCAAUAAGGGAACCUAACAUAUUUCAUUUUAUCAAGGACCUAAUUGCAUUAUUUAAUUCAUUAAAACUAGUUCAGAACUUAUUCAUGGACUAAUCUAAUCAAAUCAUAAAAUUCUGGGUCAAAAUCAUAAAAUCUAAAAAAAUAGAGGCAAAACUGUAAAAUCUGAAAAAUAGUGGCAAAACUAUAAAAUCUAAAAAACAGUGGCAAAACUAUAAAAUAUGAAAAACAGGGGACACAAGCCCGUGUGACCGGACUGUGUAGAGGGGGUUCCACGGCCAUGUGACAGACUAUGACCGUGUCAUAUUUGCAAAAUUAACCUACAGGGAAGACACGACGGUGUGAGAAGAGAAAAUCCUAGGAUUUCAGGGGGACAUGGUCGUGUAAGGUGGUGAUGUGGUCUAUCCUAGGCUUGAUUUUGCCUUUAUUUUCUUGUAAAAGAACACACACAUGACUAUGAGAUCUCGAAUGCCGUUCCUUGUGCUUAGAUCUAGUCCGAGGUGCCUAAAUUGAGUCCGCUUCUUGGCAAAAAUUAAGAAUGUUUCUAGUGUUGAUUAUGAAUCUGAUUGAAAAACGACUUGAAUUAGGAAUAGAUUUUGAUUUGGGAAGAAAAAAUAUUUUUCAAUAAUGGAUUAAAAUUAUGAUGUAAAGGGAGGAAAAGAAAAGAAAGAGGGAUUAAAAAGAAAAGAUGGAAGCAAAAUUCUAAGGGGGUUUGAAAAAGGCUAAUUGAAAUUCUAAUUAGGAAAAGAAGAUAAAAAGAUGGUGGAAUUCUAGUUCUAUUGGAAUUUUGAGGAAUGAGCAAAUUGUGGAUUCUAAUUAGGAAGGAAUUGAGUCAAUUAAUGCGGGUUUGUAAACCCUAGGGGCGUCACCUGCAAUUUUCCCAAGAUUUUUCCAAAAUUUGAAAUUAAAAAAAAAAGGGAAAAGAGGAAGAGGCUUAAACCUUGUUCACUUAAGGGGGCUAACGCCUUACCAUUAAACAUGUUACUCAUUCUUGCUUAAUUUUUUACACUUAAUUUUAAGUAUUUUAAUAUUUGGAGUGUCUUUGUGAAAUUAUGACAUAAAAGUGGAAGAAGGGGUUCAAACUUGGGUCAAUUAGGAAGGAAAUUAGCAUGCUAACCAUUAGACCUAGACCUAUAUCUUAUUCAAUUUUUACCUCAAUUCAUAUUUGUUUUAGUGUGACUUUUAUCUUAGGCUGCUAAAAAUAAAUGAGAGAACGAAGCUUGAACCUAGGAUCUAUAAAAUAGGUAAACACUUAACCACCAAGCCUAAGGCUCAUUUCUUAAUUUUAUUUCUUAAUUGUAUAUAUUUAUUUCGGACUCAACUUACUUAUUUUUUUAUUUGCUUAUACAUUUACUUAAAAAUUUUAUUAACUUAUUUAACUUUAUAUUUUUUUAACACAUUCCUAUUUUAGUUUAUAUACAAUAAUUAAUACUCAUAGUCAAGUCUCAUUAUUAAUUAAUACUCAUAGCGCUUAAACUUGUGUUUUUUUUGUCAAAUCACCCAAAAAUAGAUGAAAAAAUUAAUUUUUUUAACUUUAUUGAUGUGGUAUACACGUAGAUGACACGUCAACAUUUAAUUAAUAUUUUUAAAUUUAAAAAAAACAAAAAAAUUAUGAAAAUUAUUUUUAAAAAUAAAAAAUCAUUAAAGUUAUUUAAAAAUGAUAAAAAUAUAUAUAAAUAUUUUAAUAAUUAAUUAAAUGCUGGCAUGUUAUCCAUGUGGUAAUCCAUUUUUGGAUGAUUUGACAAAAAAAAAGAUAAAUUCAAAAAACUAAAAGAAAAAAAAUAAAUGAAAGGUUAAAUUUUUUUUUUAUAAAAUUAAAAGGUCAAAAAAAAAUUUAUGUCAUCUUAAAAUAUACUAUAUUUUUCUUCAAAUAAAUCGAAACUGAUAGACCUAGCCUACUUGUGAUGCAUGCUUAUACGAGAUCUUGAUUGGGAACAAUUUGUAUGCCAUAGAAACAAACAAGCAAUACAUAAAUUAAGGAAAAACAAAGAGGUUGUUUAAUUGAUAUUGGAAUUUAGGGUUUAUUUCUAUAACAAAGCUGUUGUGUAGUCUCAAGGUGACAAUCGCAUACGUUUAAGGCCUACCAACCAGAAAAUGAGAAGGGGAAAAAAGAAAAUCCCAAACAUGACUAUUAUUCCAACCCAAUUGUCAAAGAGACCCCUAAAAUUAAUCUAAAAAUUACCAAACUUUUAGUAUUUCUAAUUUAGUGUCUGGUUGUUGGUGUAUUUUUUUGGUACAUUAUUAUUGUUAUUAAUUGACUGACUAUCAACACUACUAACUAAAUAAUUCUUGGACUAUUUCUUGAUAAUUGAUGAGGCCAAAUCUUAAUUUUAAUUAAAUGGUUUUUUAUAUUUAUUUUUUGGAUAAUUGGGUAGGAAUGAAGUUGUUAAGAAUUAAAUUUAAAUGUUAUACAAUACAACAAAAUAAAUUUGCCAAGAAGAAUUUAUCUAAGGAUUUGAUAAAUAUUUAAGUACUGGAGAUUUGGUUUUACUGGUGAAGAAUAUAUCUAUUCUUAAAUGCUAGAAAAAAAGAGUAAUGGGGUGUUCGGUUGAAAUCAUAGAGGGUGAUUUUACAUUCCAUUUUAACAUUCUCACAUUUUGUUCGUAAAGAUUAUUUUACAUUUCUAUUAAUAUAGAUGAUAAUCUUAAUUCUAGUUCUUUCUUAGGUAAGGUAAGAUUUUGAGGCUAAUCUUCGACAUUUUUACUUUUUAUUUAUUUAUUUACAAUUUUCAUUAAUAUUAACCCUUCUUUCGAAUUUUCUAUAUAUUACGUAAAUAUAUUACAUAUACAAUUUAAUUUUUUUAUAAUAUAAUAAUUUAACUUAUUAUAUUAAUAUAAAAGAUAUAAGACUAUCGGUUAAUAUAUGUUUUUUUAAAUAAAAUAUCAAUUAUCAUAUUUGAUAUAAAUAGUAUUUUAACCAAAUUUAAAAAUAAUCUAAAAAUAUAUUUUAACUAAGAGGAUGUGGGGUCAAGCUAGACCUAUCCAUGAGCUAGGUCAUUCAGUUCGACCCAAAGGUCUGCCUGAAAAGUGAGAGGGUUUGAGCAAAAAUAGAGGCUCAAAAAAUAUAUUUGGGCAAAAAACUAAGGUCUGUUUCCGGGCAUCGAGUAAGGUUUUUUUGGCCUGAGCCCGGCCUAAAUUUGCAAAAAGAAAAAAAACAUUCUUGUUUUCUUGCUGUUUUCUCACAGUUUUGUUCCUAUUUCACUAUUAUGUUGUUAUUGUUUAGAUAUUGUAUAACUCUUAUUUUAUUAUUAAUUUUCUUACUAUUUUAGAGGCAUUUGCUUAUUAAGUUACAUCUAUAUAGUGUUAUUUAAGUAUAAAGAUUUUUAAAAUUUAUUUCCAAUUUGUUGGGAAACAUUUAUUUUAAUGCUUUUAGUAUUUUUUAUGUAUUAUAUUUUAAAUAUAUAUAUAAAAAUUUAAUACGAACGGAUCGGACUCGGGUUUUAACAUUUUUAUUUGAGCUGAGAUUGGGCAAAAUUUUAAGCCCAUUUUCAGGCUAGACUAGGUUUGGGCCUAUCAAACGGGCCUAAAAUUUUGUCAAAUCCUGACACGACCCAGCCUGGCCCAUAAAUAAGUCUAGAAGUAAGCUUUGUAUAAGAAAAAAAAUGUAGUAAUGGAAUAAAAGGAAUCGAAAUUGGCAUAUUCAAAUAAUGAAAAAUAUCAUAUGUAUGAUAUAAUAAUACAAUGUUAAUGGUAAGAUUUAAGUUUCUGUAACAAAAAUGAGAGCAUAAAGUUUUAGAGUUCAUUGAAAGAGUUUCACAAAAUUUCGAUUUUGUAAUGUUUCAAUCACUUGUUGAUUAAUGCCCUGUUAACCACAUGAUAAAACGAUGACGUGAGACAAUUUGUAUAGAUUCAAUACCUAAAUUUGCCCAUGAACUAUAGAUUAUAUUAGUUUUUUUUUUAGAAAUUCUCAAGGAUAAUUCCAAAAAAAUCCAAAGAAAAUAACAGAAAAUUCUAAAAAAAAAGGUUGAUGUAACACCCCUAACCCGUAUUUGUCGCCGGAACAGGAUUACAGAGUACUACCAGAGUUUUCAGAUCAAAUGAACACAUAAUUAUAAACAUUUCAAAUCAUAUCAAUAUUCAUAUUAAAAUCAAGUAAAAACAUACAUAUUAUCCCUUAAAUGAGCCCUCGAGGCCCAAUAUACGCGUUAGAAACAAGUCUGGACUAAAUCAGAAACUCAGAAAAAUUUUUAAAAAUUAGUGAAAAUUUUCAACACUGCAGGGAUCACACAACCGUAUGGCCAGACCGUGUGACUCACACGACCAGGAGACACGCCUGUGUCUCAGGCCGUGUGGGCAUUUAAAGUAGGGACACACAGCCGUAUCCCAGCCCGUGUCCGUGCCCGUGCCCGUGUAACUCAUUGACUUGGUCACACGACCAAGCCACACACUCGUGUGCUAGGCCGUGUACCCUUUGAAAUAACCUCACACGCCCAUGUGUCAGGCCAUGUGCUAGGUCGUAUAACAGCUUGACUUGCAACCCUUCGAAAGCUACAGGGGACAUACAGCUGUGUCGCCUGGCUGUGUGUAACACACGGCUGAGACACACGCUUGUGUCUCUGCCCGUGUGAACAAAAAUAGGCCAUUUUACAAGCCAUUUUUCUCGGCCAAUUUAACAUGAACCUACAACCACAAAUGCACAUAUACACAGGCCAUAAUAAGGCACCAAAACCAUGCAUAAUCUAGCCAUAUAUAAAUGGUAUGAUCACAUACAACCAAUAUGCCCUUAGGCACCUCAAAUGACAAUAUAAAACAUGAAACUUACUUACCAAAAUAUACAAAAUGGUACUAACCAUGUCAUUCAACCAUUAACAUCUAAAACCAUAUAAACCAUUCAAACAAAGUGCCAAUUCACAAUAAUUUCAACAAUUUACAAAACUUAUACAAUAUGUAUAUUCAAACCUUAAUUUCAUCUUCCAUAAUUCAAACAUAUCAAUCCAAACAUCAACCAUUAGAAAUCUAAUAUUUACAUGCCAUAUACUAAACUCAUAUCAUAAUCAAAGUGCUAAAACACAAACCAAUCAAAUGGCUAUUUAACAACCAAAAUAUAUGGCCACAUUAGCCAAAAUACCUAUACAUGUCAUUAUAACAAAAAUUAAAUAACCGAAUCUACCAAAAGAGUCAAUAGAUAGUGUGAUUUAUCUCCGACAAGCUUCCAACUUGAACGAGCUUUCGAUUCAAUAUAAGACACGGAGAAUAACACAGAGUAAGCAUUUAAGCUCAGUAAGUUUGUAUAAAAUAGAAUAUAACUUGCCAUUUAGGCAUAUAAUAAGUAAGUAAAUAAAGCAUAUUCCAACACAAUUUGGCCAAAUUCCUAAGCACAAAUUCACCAACCAUGUUAGCCAUGUAAACAUAUAUAUAAGCCAAUAAACAUGGAUGAACACAACAAUUGAUCAAGUUCCAUAUACAUGUAUCAUCCAUUUCAUGUUUCCAUAUACCAUGUAACAACAUUUCCAUGUAAUUCAUGUGUAUACUUGAAUAGUUUGUAUCGAACUCUUAUCAUUUCGUCAGAACAUCACCCAUUGAACCAUUUAGAAUAUCGUUGGAUACCCCGAAUAGCUCGCACAUAGUGUCCUAAACCAUAUAACUAUAAUCCAUCAAAUCUUGUACAUGUAUGCUCACACGAGCUGUAAAUAUGUAUACUCUUAUGAGCUAUGGGUCGAAACGUAGCUACAUGAUGCUACUCACAUGAGAUGUGGAGUAUCCGCAACACAUGUCAGACCUUAGCCAUUGGUAGGACAUCUAGGACCAACACACGAAUCAUGUAAACCCUAAUGACAUGUCAUUUGUAUCCUACAAAUUCCUAAGGUUCAAAUGGGGCUUGGUAAUCGUCUAACGUCGUUGGAUAUACAAUUUUUAUUUAUAUAACAUUUCAUAACACAUGUAUAGUUCAAUUAAAAACAUAUAAACAUGAUUUAAUUACACGAACUUAUCUCGAUGAGUAUACGUAUAUACGGAGGCGAUUAAUCUGAGAUUUUCUCUUUGUCCCGAUCUAACGUUGUACGAGGUCUGUCUUGAUCUAUACAGAUAAAUUUAACUCAAUUCAAUAUAAAUUUCAUUCAAUUUAGCCCAAAAUCAUAUUUUGAAAAAUCACCAUUUUCCCCUAUACUUUUAAUUUCUUUGCAAUUUAGUCCUUAGCUCAUAAAAAUGGAAAUUCAUGAAAUUCUACCACAACCGACUAUGGCCGAAUAUUAAUUGGGUCCCUAGCAUGCCCUAUAUUUCAUUUAUUUCACAAUUUCACCAUGUAAUAUUUUCUAAUUUUUAUUUUAGUCCCUAUUUGACAAUUUCACUAAAAAUCCUUUACAAAUGUUGUUUAUCUAACAAUAACCAUCCAUUUUCUAUCAUCAAACAUCAAACUCAUGUACAUGCAUCAAUGGGAAAACCUUAAUAGUUUAACAGUUUCACAAAUUAGUCCCCGGGCUUGCUAGAUUAAGCUACAACAAUCCCAAAAACAUAGAAAUCAUUAAAAACAGGACAAAAAUACAUACCUAAUUAAGGAAAUAAGGAUGGCCGAAUAUAGCUUCAACAAUGGCUACUCUUUUCUUCUAUUUUUGGUUGAAAGAUGAAAGUAAAAUAUGGUGUUUUGUUUUUAUUUUAUUUAAUUUAUCAAUUAUUUACUUUUUACUAAUUUAACCUUAAAAUCUUUAUUAAUUACACAAAUGCCAAACCAUGUAUAUCCACUAUCAACUUAAAUGGUCUAAUUACCAUAUAAGGACUUCCAUUUUAAAGUUCUAUAGUUAUUUAAUACCUUUAGUAUUAGAACUCAACUUUUGCACUUUACACGAUUUAGUCCUUUUUAUCAAAUUGAACAUGUAAACGGUAAAAUUUCUUAAUGAAACUUUUCUAUAGUACUUCUAUCAUGCUGUAGGAAAUAAAAUAAUAAUAAAAUAAAUUUUUUAACUUCAGAUUUGUGGUCCCGAAAUCGCAGUUUUGAUUUCACUAAAAAUGGGCUGUCACAGUUGAAAUGUAUUUAACCCUUGUACUUGUAUUUCUCCAACUUAAACUUGUUAAAGAUUCUAAGUUGUUUAAGAUGUCUCAUAGAGCUUCUUGACCUAACCAUAUUGUGAUGAUUCUUUAAGAGCUUUCGGAAAAAUUAUAUUAAAUACUUACAAUCAAAUUUCCUUUUAGCUACUAGGAUGCAGGAAAUCAUUGUCUAAUGUUUCACUUUUUGCAGCUUUAGAAGGUAAAAAUCUAACCUUGCUAAUAGUGAGUUUAAAUUUUUUAGAACCAAUUGAUUUAAGUUUAAAAGAUGUUUUUUUAUUUCUUAGAGAAAAAAAUAAAAUUUAUGAUUCAUCCUAUAUAUUUAUCUUUCCUUCAAGUAGGUAGUUUUAUUUUCCUCCUUUUAUAUUGAAAGAUGUAAUGAAGUAAUUGCUAAUGCAUUUUUCACUUGAGAGGUGGUGGAACUUUUUUAACUUUUUAUUCUGAGCAUAUGCUUGACAAUUGCAUUUUUUGUGAGCAUUUGUUGGUUAUCUACAAUUUUCUUAUUUUUAGGGUAUAUGGUAUCUGCAGAGGGUAUCCAUGUAGAUCCAAAAAACAAAAAAAAAUAAAGGCUAUUCUGAAAUGGAAACAACCUAAAAAUGUUUCCAAAAUUAGAAGUUUCCUUGGUUUAGCCGGAUAUUAUAGGAGAUUUGUUGAAUGAUUCUUUCUUAUUACUGCUCAUGUAACUAAGUUAUUGAGGAAGAAUGUUCUAAUCAAAUAGUCCGAUGAUCAACAAGCUAGCUUUGAAAAGCUAAAAUCAAUGAUGAUACAAGCUCUCAUGUUAAUUCAACCAGAGUCGAGAAAGAAGUAUGUGGUAUAUAGAGAUGCAUCUUACACUGACAUUGGAUGUUUAUUGAUGCAAGACAAAUAGUUAUCUAUGUGUUGAGACAGUUGAAACAACAUGGGUGCAACUAUCCGACUCAUGAUUUGGAGUUUAUAGCUAUGGUAUUUACAUUAAAAAUAUGGAUGCACUACCUGUAUGGUGUGAAGUGCUAUAUUUAUACUGAUCAUAAGAGUCUCAAAUACCUUUUCACUAAAAAAGAGUUGAACUUGAGUCAACGGAGGUGGAUAAAAUUAUUAAAGGACUAAGACUGUGUGAUUGAAUAUUACCCUAAAAAAGCCAAUGUAGUGGCAGAUGCUCUAAGAAGAAAACAAAUGAUUGAUUUAAGAGCAUUGCUUGCUAGGUUAAGUCUAGUGGAUGAUGGAGGCUUACUAGCAGAACAACAAGUGACACGUACCUUGGUUAGUGAAAUUAAAGAUAAAUGACAUUAGAUGUGUCCCUGUUGUCAUGGAUUAAGAAGGUGGAAGACGAAAAAAAUGAGGAUUUUAGGUUUAAUAUUGAUGGUUCUAUGCUUGCGAGGGAGAUAUUGUGUGCUGAAUGAUAAGGGUCUAAAAUAGUCUAUACUUCAGGAAGUGCAUACUAGCUUGUAUGCUAUGCAUCCAAGAGGAAAUGAUAUGUAUUAGGAUUUAAGCAAACUGUACUGAUGGCCUAGACUGAAACAAAAAGUGACAGAUUCUAUAGCUAAGUGCCUAACGUGUCAGCAAGUGAAAGCUAAACACCAGUUCACUUCUAGUUUGUUGUAACCAAUUAAAAUACCUUAGUAGAAGUGGGACCGAAAAAAAUGGACUUUGUUAGUGGGCUACUUUUAACACCCACUAAGAAAGACUUAAUUUGGGUGAUAGUAGAUCGAUUAUCUAAGUCAGCUCAUUUCUUACCUUUUUAUACAUAUUACUCUUUACAAAUUCUGGCUAAGUUAUAUAUUUCAAAGGUUGUAAGACUACAUAGAGUACUAGUAUCUAUUAUUUCAGAUCAAGAUCUCCAUUUUACAUUUCGAAUUUGGAAGAAACUAAAUGAGGCACUAGGUACUUGUUUGGAUUUUAGUUCUACCUUCCAUUCAUAUACUAAUGGACAAUUCGAGCGAGUUUUCUAGAUCUUAGAAGAUAUGCUAAGGGGCUGCAUUAUUGAACUCUGAGGUUGUUGAGAGGAACAUUUGCCCCUAGUAGAAUUUUCCUAUAAUAAUAGCUUUCAGUUAAAGUAUAUAAAUGACAUCUUAUGUAGCCUUUUAUGGUUCUGAGUGCCGAACAUCACUGUGUUAGAUUGAACUUAGUGAAAGGAAAAUUUUGGGUCCUUAGGAGGUAGAGGAGUCCGAGGGAAAAAUUAGAUUAAUUCAGGAUAGAUUGAAAGUGACUUCAAAUAGGCAGAAGUCGUAUACGGACCUAAUGAGAAAGGACAUCAAAUAUAGUGUCAGAGAUCAAGUCUUCCUGAAAGUGUUGAGUUUCAGUCAAAAAGGUAAGUUAAGUCCUAGGUUCAUUGAACCUUACAAAAUUCUUAAGAGAGUCAAUCGAGUGGCAUACCAAUUAGAAUUACCUCCUGAGUUGGACCAUAUUCAUGAUGUAUUUCAUGUCUCCAUGUUGAGAUAAAACCAAUUCAACCUUUUCCAUGUUGUUCUAAUCGAAGAGAUCGAUGUGAGGCUGAAUUUUUCUUUUGAGGAGAAACUUAUACAAAUUCUAAGAAGGAAAUGAAUCCAAUUAGUUAAGGUUCUGUGGCGAAACCAUGGCACCAAGGAGGCUAUGUGGGAACCAUAAGACUCAAUCUGUUAACAUUAUCCUCAUCUGUUUGAAUCAUGUAAAUUUCAAGGAUAAAAUUUAUUUAACGAGGGGAGAGUUGUCAUGACCUAAAAUAUAAGAGGAUCAUUGAAAUGGAUAGACAAGAAUUGAAUUAGGCUUCAUGAUCAAGUGUUAGAGAAUCCUUCUUAGAGGCCCAAGUUAGAGCUCAUUUCCUCCCAUUUCCUUCUAAUUAUUUUUCGACAACCUAGGUUAAAAGCCACACUUAAAAUAUAUAUAGUAAGGAAUUAAAACUGAACAAGAAUAGGCUUCAGGCCUAAUAAUUAAGAGUUAGCGUCCCUCCCUGGUGACCCUUGGUUUGAGCCACUCUUUCCCCAAAAGUAUUCAUUUCAUUUUCGACCAACUUUUGGGAUAUUUAUCGUUGCCACCCUAAAAUGGAUAGACAAGAAAUGAAUUACGCUUCAUGGUAAAGUUUUAGAGAAUCCUCCUUAAAGACCUAAGUUCGAGCUCCUUUCCUCCCAUUUCCUUUCUUUUAUUCUCGACAACCUAGGGUAAAAGUAACACCUAAAAUAUAUACAAUCAGGAAUUAAAAUUGAAUAAGAAAUAGGCUUUAAGCCUAAUGGUUAAAAUUUAGCUUCCCUCCAUUGUGACCCUCGGUUCGAGUCACUCCUUCCUCAAAAGCAUUCCUUUUAUUCUCGGUCAAAUUUUGGGAUAUUUACCGUUGCUGCCCUAGGGUUUAGAAACCCUAGCUAUUUAGUCAUUCCUAUUCCUAUUUUGAUUAGGAUUUUCUCUUUUCAAAAUUUUAGUAAAAUUCCUCUUCAUCCAUUUUCCUCCUAUUUUCUCUCAUAUUUGCACCAUAUUUUCAUCCUAAUUUGUGAUAAUUAUUUUGCUUUCUUGAAUCAAAUCAUCAUUCAUUCUAUCAUUCUUUCUAUCAAUUUUAUAAUUGUCUUCAAUAACAUCCCUACCUUUGCUAAGAAUCUGUAAGUACAUCUUGUUUCCAAUGUUUAGAUCCUGAACUUUGGUAGUAUUAAUAUCUAAUGCUAAUCUUACGUCCGAUUAACCAAUUUUUAUAGUUAUUGCCAAAUCUUCUGUUAAUCUUGUCAAACUUGAAACCAUCAGUUAAUUUGUGUGUAAAUGUUGUUUGAAGGAUCGGAUUUAGGUGAAUCAGAUCAGAAUCGAGUGUUAGAAAUGUCAACUGGCAACGUGGUAAAAUGUGUGUAUUCUUUACCAAGUGAAUCGGGGUACACCGUGUGUAUGUUUAGGGUGACAUGGGCGUGUGGAUGACAUGACCAUGUGCUUCUAUUUUACAUUAAGGUACUUCGAUUUUCAUAUGGCCACAGCUUGUUAUGUGGCCUGGCCACAUGGCUGUGUAACCCUCCCACACUGUCUUAGCCUUCUUACAUGGCCAUGUGACCCCUGUUUUAAAGCUUUGCCCAUAAAUUUGUGAAUUGUUCUAUUCAGUCCAUGUAUAGUCCCCAAAUUAUUUUUAGAUUUUUAUUUCACUCAAUUGAAUCCCUGAUAAUAUGUAUAUUUGGAAUCUAUGAUCUGAGGGGCUGAAUUAUUAUUGUUAUAAGCAUGAUAUGUAAAUAAUACAUGCCUACUGCUAUUGUUAAACCGAAUACACGUUAAGCAUGUUUAUUGCUACCGUAUUAAUCUGUUACAAGCUUGUUAUAUUGCAUUGCAUGGGGUGGAAUGAUAUGAACAAAGGAAGAAUGAGCAGUUCAUCUGCAAUGAUUAGUGGUUCAUCCACAAUGUAUUGACAACUUGUCUGGAAAUGUUUUUAUUUGAAAACUUUGGUGGUUCAUUCAUAAUUUUUAUUACUAACAGUUCAUCUGUAAUGACUAGUGGUUCAUCUAUAACAAUGAGUGGUUCAUCUACAACGUGAUGUAUAAGGAUGGAUGAGUUAUGAGGAACUCUUACUGUGGUGUGUAACGGAGUUAAGUAGAAUCUUUUCUAAAAAAUUGAAACUACAUCACCAUUCAUAAGCAUGUAUAUGCAUAACUGUGUAUUCUGAAAUAUUAUUAUAGUGAUGUAUUAAUCAGGAAAACUGAUUCUGAGAAUUGUUAUAUGAUUGUGUUUGUUAUGAAAAUUGUUAUUUUGUAUGUUACAUCUACGAUUUUCACUAAUUUUCUUGUGAUAGGACUCACAUCGAGCUUCUUAAAGCUCACCCCACUAUAAUUUUUAUCUUUCCAGAUAACCCGCAAGGUUAAGGCACAGACUCGACAUUCGAAAGGUCUCGGCUCGAAAACAAUAAUUUUAAUAAAUAGUAUUGAGAUUUUAUAAAUUCUAUUAUUUGCAACUGUAUUGAUUUAUUCAAACUGUGGCAUGUGACUUAAGUUUUGGGUUGAUUUGGAAUGCAUGACAUAUAAUUUGAAAUCAGGAUGUUGAAUUAUGAAUUACGAGUUAAUUAUACAUGAAAUUUAAUUUUCAUUAAAACUAGGUUAAAAAUCACUUUUCUGCUACAUGACUAGGUAAAUGAGAUUUAAAUAAAUAUGUAUACACACAUAAAAUUGGAAUUUAACUUUGGUAAAACGAUCACUAAAAUCAUCUCGUUUUUGAAAUUAAAUUGUACCUUUUAGAAACACGCUAUGUUUUUCUUCAAAAAUUAAAACAAAUGUUUUUAAACCCCGAUAGUUUUGCUAGGCCAUUUUGAUGAUAAAUGUAAUCUUUCGAAUUCGGACUUAAUGUCUAUGCUGGGUUGGGGAGGUUACAUGUAUUAUUAUAAUUUUUUUGAAUGAUAUAUUAUUAUAAUGUUAAUUUUUUAUGUUAAUGAUAUAUAAGUUUUAACCUUGAAUGUGUAACCAACUUUAUGGUAGAUUAGAAUAUAUAUACAAUUAUUAUUAUAUAAUUAGGGUGGACUAUUAAUGAUAUAUAACUCUAUAUAGAUUUAUGAUAUUAUAAUAUACAUUUUUAUAUAAUGAUAUGUAAGCUUAAACCCUAAACAUGAAACUAACUUUGAGGUAGAUUAUAAUAUAUACAAUUAUAAUUUAUUUGGAAUCCUUAUGUUUAAAUUGUUAGGUAUGUUUAUAUUGUUAUGAAAUCAUUAUGCUUUAUUUGUUUCUAUUGUUAUUUAGCUACUUCAAUUAAUUUAUUUUUUAUUUAAUUAUUAUUAAUUAUGAAUAAAUUUUAUCUAAAAUCAAUUUCUAUUUUAUUUUAAUGUUAUUUUUAUAAUUUUAAUUUUAGUAUCUUCAGAUUUAGAUUUUUUUUGGAUUCGAAUAUCCAGCAAAUGAUUAAAAAUGUUGAAUUUGAAAUUUUUUUAUUGAUAAAGACGCUUGGAGAUAAUGAUAUUUAAUUCAUAUUCGAAUAUAGAUAGUAAUAUUUAGAUUUAAAUUUUUAAACAGAUUUACAUAUUCAAGUAUCCUAAAAUUACAAAUAUUUUAACCCGCUGCUAUUCUUAUUAUAAACAGAUUUAAAAUUUUAAAAAUUAAUCUUUUAAUAUAUGGAAUUUUUAUGCCUCAUCAAUUGGAGUGAUAAUAAUGGUAUAUUUAUAAAAAUAUUUUACGAUUUUGUAUGAAAAGGAAAUUCGAUAAAAAUAAAAUCAAGACACUAGAAUUUGUAUUUGGUCAACAUUAUUUGUUUGGGAAGACGAACGCUAAGAAAAAAAAAUUACUUGAAUGGAAUUAUGAUUGUAGUGGUUACUAAAAGUGGCAUUUUGAUGAAAAAAAGUACGUACGAUUGUUUGUACAAUUUGAUUUUAUUACAUGUAUAAAGUUUACUUCAGUAAAUAAAUUUAUUAUCUUUAAAUAUAGUAUAACAAUAUUAUAUUUGGUACAAGUAUUAUUUUUUACUAUGUUUUAAUAUAUGAGUUUGUAAUAAACUAAUUUCAAUUGGUCAUUUUUAGCCACUCAUAUGGCUUAAUUUGCGAGAAGAACAGAGAAAAUUUUCGCUUAUUUUGAAGAUGUGUUAUUUUUUUCAAAAAAUUUACUCAUAUUUGGAAUCUCAAAUUUAAAUUUGUCCUAGCUAUACUUUAUUUUAUGUCUAACUAUUGCAAUAAAUAAUGUAAUAAAUAAGCUUUUUCUUGAUGUUAUUACAUAAGUAACCACAUGAGUUAAAAGCGACUUAAGUUCUAUCACAAAUUGGUAUAACAACCUCAAUUUUGUACCUAAAGAUAUAGAUCAGUCUCCUCUAAGUCUAAGAACUUAGGUAAAACGUGUUUACCCUAUUAAGUGUACUCUAAAAAAUAUGUUCUACAAUGAAUAGAUAUGUGCUCACAAUACUCGAUACAAAACCUAUACAAGUCUCAAAUAUAUAAGAGUUUUGAGACUAGCUAACAUAUUAGAAAUAAAUUAUAAUUACUUCUCUUGUUAAACAACAACUAAAAUAACAAUAUACAAUGUAAUAAUAAAGAUUAAUGUAAGGCGGAUUGUUCAAGAUAUGUCCUCAAUGCUAUCCGGAUCCAGUCUAUAAAAUUCAAUGAAUUCGAAUGCAUAAUCCAAACUAAUAUAAUCUUCAAAAUAAAUUGUUUGAAACGGAUUAAUCUUAAUAAAUGAGUCCACAUACUUUAACAAUAUCAAAUUGUUUAAAGCCUAAAAAUUUUAUUUAAAAUUUUAUCAACCUAAAGUAACAAAGUCGAUUAUAGUAUUAAUCGUAUAUGAAUGAGUAUAUAAUAAUAUUUAUAUAUUUUUAAAAAUUAAUAAUAUGUAGUGUCAAAAAAAUUAUAUAUUUUAAGAUUAUCUUCAUUUAAAUUAUUAUCUUUUAAAUUUAAUAUCUAUUCAGAAUUAUAUUAGAUAUUAAGCCGGCAAAGGAAAAAAAGAAAACGUCAUCCAGUACUAACGUUGAACGGUUGAUGACAGCAAAAGCCAUGGUGUGUGUAAAUUGGGGUUUGAUUUUUAGGGUUUUUGCUUUAUCACCACUGUAGUCAACCAAUUUUGCCCGGGUCUUUAUUUUAUUUAUACAUUCAAUAGCUAGUUAAAUAAACUUAAAUAAAGUCCCAAUAGUCCAUUUACAACCUUAAAUAAACACUAACAAAUAGCCCAAACAUAUACAGAGGCCCAAAGACCAAUAAGCCCAAUUUGCAAAAAGGCCCAAACUUGAAAGAACCACAAAAGGGGAAUCUCAGCAGCUGAAAGCACUAGGGGUUUCUAGAACACACCAGUGCUGCAAUCACAGCUUUCACGAGCAAUUUUUUCCGUACGAUCGUUGCUCCAUCCCUGCAUUAGAAUACACGAGAAAAGGAUAGAAACAGAAUACGGUAGAUGACAGCAAUAAAAUGUAUUUUUAUUCUGAAAUUUUGGCUAUAAAAGCCGAUGAUUGUACCUACAAAAGGGAUUACGGUCAAUACACGCAUGCACAUUAGAUAUUCAAAAAUCUAGCCCAAAAUUUGAAAGGUGAAUUCCGGAUUUAUUCUUUAUUUUCUUUGAUUGAUUCGCAUAUUUAGUACGAGUAUUAAAAGGGGGAAAUCUAGACUGACGCCGAUGAAAAGCCCCAAACAUCUCAGAUAUACAUAGAUGUGGGCGAGGGUCGAGUGAGAUUAAAGUGUUGUUUGAAUAUAUGUGAAAUUUAUUUUGUUUUUUUUAAAAAAAACAGUAUAAGAUUUACGUUUUUUCGUGGAAAACAAAAGAAAAAGGAGCGAAGUUACCUGAUUUUUGGAAAGGUGACCUUCGUUGGCUAGAUCUGGCCCUUAUCCGCGCCACUGGCCAUCAAAUUGAUGGAGGUUAAGGGCUGCGUGAUGAAAUGAACCCACACAGAGC